rnacentral:lncRNA from 1 species
AUUUCUAUUGAACUUUGAUGACGUUCUAGACGAGGAAACAAUAUCCGCUAUUAAGACGUACCAACAAUUUUUCAAUCUCCAAGUUACUGGUCACCUAAACACCGAGACUUUACAAAAAAAUCUCGUUACCGCGAUGUGGUAUUCCUGAUAUGGGAUACGAGUAUGGCAUCGAUGUUGGAAGUAAUGUAUCAUUUCCGAAAGGAAACAAGUUGUUCCCUAAGGGCACAAAAAAGCUUACAUAUGGUUUUCUUCCAGGGAAAAAAAAUCUCAUUAGACAUGAUCGAAGGGUUUAGAAAUGCCUUCACAUGUUGGUCGCAGACUACUAGGGUCCUAAAUUUUAGCGAGACAACAUCAUACGAUGAUGCUGACAUUAAGAUUGGAUUCUACCAUAUUUACAACAAUGAUGUUGUUGAUGAUGUUGUGGUGGGUGACUCUUUCAUCAGCAGGAACCUUGAUUCGAAUGAGAAAUCAGGUAUGGUACGUCUGGAAUGUUCUAAGUUCUGGGUGUUGCCAACUACCACCUACUUUAAGAAGUGGGAAUUGCAAGAAUUCGAUUUGGAGACUGUUGUCAUGCAUCAAAUAUCUACUAGGACUUGAUCACUCUUCUGAUAAGGAGUCUAUUAUGUACCCAUUAAUAGAUCCAUUGCAUGAAAAGAAGGUGCAAAUAACAGAUUCAGAUAACCAAGCUAUACAACAACUCUACACGGUUUUCCUUCCAAAAAAAAAAAAAAAAAAAAAAAACAACAACUCUACACCAACACUACCAAAGCCAAUCCAAACUCUGAUCAUAGUGGGUGCUUUAAGCUUUUUGAGUCAAGUUUUGUUCUUCUUACCUCUUUGUCCUUUGGUUUUGCUUUUGUAGCUCUCAUGAACUUGGCUUCCUAAUAAUUGUGUACCUUACUUCAUGUGCUAUUUUCCGUUCAUGUUGAAUAGUUUGUUAUAGGGGGUAUCAUGAUAUAUGGUUGUUGUAAUUGAUUACAUAUCUAUUGGAGUGCAAAAAUCACUUCAAGUAGACUUUCGACUUAUCGACUAUAAUAAAGAUCAAUAAAUUAUAUUAUCUAUUUUCAUUGAUGAUAAAUAAGUUGUAGGGUUUAUUACCAUAAAAUAUGGUAUGAUAAACAUUCAUAUAUUUUGAGGCCAGUGGCGGAGCCAGGAUUUUUAAAGAAUCUGAGCAAAAUUUUGAAUGCAAAUUCACAUGUGACAUAAUAUAUAAAUAGUGUUAUACAUCGAAAUCAAAUAGGCUCGUCAUUUUGACAAUAAAAGUACAAUUUGAAAUAAGAGAGAUGAAACAUAACCUGCUAAUAUUCAUAUUUUGUUACCAUAAAGUAAAUGAGCAAUAUUCAAAUUUUAUUACCAUAAAGUAAAUGAGCAAUGAAGUAUAUAUAGAUUUUGAUUUAUGAGAGUAUUAAGUAUUGGUUUGGGUGAAUAGUAUAAUAGUUCAUAGUUAGGAGAAUUAUUCAAGUUAAGUCACUUUAAGAAUUUAUUCAAAAAAUUGAUUAUAGUAAUCAAUUUCAAAUUCCAAUGAUAUUGAUUAUAAUAUAAUAUUUUAUUAUAUUGAUUAUACUAAUUUUAGUGGUAAUUUUAUGAAUUAUUCAUUUUUAAAAUUUAUAGUAGAAUAGAAAAUAUAAAAAAUAAAAUAAAACAAUGAAUAAGUUUUAGUGACAGCCGCAACCGUAGGUAGAGGUCCAUAAUAUUUUUAAAAUGGCCUCUUAGAAUUACCAAUGGUUUCGUCCGUAGUUAAAGGUGGAAAACAUGCAGUGACAACCACUUGACAACGAUAGAUGGAUUUAGCUACGGAAAUUUUUCCUACAGUGACGAAUUUUGGCUGUCACUGAUGAGUCAUUUAUAUACUAUUUUAAUAUGCUUUUUAGUUUAGUUUUAUUUAGAUUUUAUAUAAUUUUAUAUUAGUAUUAUUUCCUUUUUAGGAUAGUUUACUUUAAAUUGCAAUUUAUUAUAUUUCAGGGAAGAAUAUUGGAUGGAUUGAGUCUUGGAGCAAAAGAAAGGGAUUUGGAGCAGAUUGGACACGAAAAUAUGAAGAUUGGGAGACAAAAUAUGUCUCCCACAAGUCAGAAGCCUGGCACGGCCCGUGCUAGCCUUGGCACGGCCGUGCCACCCUCCAGAAGACCUUUUGCUGCUUUUGCUUGGGCUCUAAGCUAUUCUAUUUUGGCGCACAAUCUACCGUGGAAUAUUCUUGGAAUAUACUUGCUUAGAUUUUAAGUCAAUUGUGUACUAUAAAUAGAGUAGCUAGCCAUCACAAAUAUUCAUCUUUUCUUGGAAUGCAAUAUGUGACAAUUGUUUUCUAAUAAAAGUUCAUUUACUUUAUUGUUAUUUACUUUUAUGCUUUCUCUCUUCUUCUCCUUGUCUACGAUGAACGUCAGUGAGUAGACUUCUCUUGUCUUGGGAUUGUUGGAUAAGUCUAAUGACAUAAUCCUAAUCAAACCAAGCUUUAAACCUUAAUCUUAUGUAACCCUAAUUCCUUAUCUAAAUUCACCGCUUUAACAUGGAUCAACCAUUAUCAAACUGUGGAAACGAAAGUGGAGGGUUUGAUAAUUGUUUAUCCAUCAUCUCAAAUAUCAAUUCAUAAAACGAAAGUGGAGCUUUGAUAUUCGAACAAGUGAAUUUAGACAAGGAUUGCAAAGUCAGCGAAAUAGGCUUUGCAAUCUUUGAGACAUAUAGUUUCGAUCUUCAAGGGAACUAAUAACAAUCAAGUCAGCGAAAUAGGCUUGGUUGUUAGAGGAACCAAAAUCUAAUAGUAAUCAAGUCAGCGAAAUAGGCUUGGUUGCUAGAGGAACAAAAGAGAAACUGUCUUGAGAAAUUAGGUCUAACAUAAAGUUAUAAGUUUAAUAGUUUGGUUUGAGAAGGACUUGUCGUUAGGAUGAACCAAUAACCCCAAGGCUUUUAUCUUUUAUUUUAUUAUUUGCUCUUAAUUAAAAUCCCAAACUUUUCUACCUUAUAAACCUUUAGUCCAAUCAUUAUCUAAAGUUAAUUGAAUUCGUAACUCCCUGUCGGAACGAUACUCAUAUUUUACUACUUCGGUAAGACCGUGCACUUGCGGUUUUAUCCCAUCAAGUUUUUGGCGCCGCUGCGGGGGAUUGUCCGAAGGUGAUUCAAGAAAACGAGAAAAUUUUGAGGCCCCAUGUCCAGAACCUUGGCACGGCCCGUGCUAACACUGGCACGGCCGUGCCAGACCUUGCUACCCAAAAACUGACCCACAAUCCAGAAAGUUGGCACGGCCCGUGCUAAGUUUGGCACGGCCGUGCCCGAUCCCAGGUUCAGUUUUAUCUAACUUUUCAUCUUCUUCAUCCCCCAUUCUCAACCACUCACAUCCCUCAUCCUCCCAUUUUUAUCUAAAACCUCCAUAACCAAAAAACCUUACAAACUCCAUACCUCCCUCAAAACCUCACCAAUUCUCAAAAUUUCUUCACCCCAUCAACCACAAUCCACAUUUCAAUCAUAACCCUUCCAUCAAAAACAACUUUCUUCCAUCCCUACCAAAAAAAAAAAAACAUCAAAUUCGUAGCCCCCAUUCAACCAACUACAAAACCCACAAAUUCUUCACCAAUUCACCCAACCCAACUCCUAACACUUACUCAAACCCCAACCCCAUCACCCAACCUUCACCCAAAACACAAAAGGUCCACCAAGGUUAAGGAUAAUGGCAUCUAGGAAAGGUGGAGCAAGCUCUUCCGGAGGACCACAAUCAAAGAAGAAAACGCAAGCCAAGAAUCAUGGCAUAAUCUUCAAGGACACCAAGCAAAGGGACAGGUAUAAAAUUCUUCUCUCUAAACCUUUGCAUCCUUGUCGAUAUCCAGAUCCUUAUACUUUGAGUGUGCUAGGACUAAGGGAUAAUGUGUUUAAAUUACUAGGAAAUUUAGGAUGGGUUGAUAUGCUUAGACCUAUGAAAGGUUUCGAAAAUUUCACUUAUGAAUUCUUAAGUUCUAUUGAAUUUACGAAGGAUAAGGUGAAUUUUGACAACCCCGAUCAUAGAGUCUCUUUCCGACUUUUGAAUAUGGAUUAUGAGAUGUCUCUUGAAAAUUUCUGUUUAGAGAUGGACUUUGCAAAUGCGGGGUUCAUCCAUGACUCUUGGAAUCCAAAUUUAAAGUCGGAAAACUAUGACCCCGCUCUCUUUUGGAAACGCAUUACCGGGUUAAGGCAAUAUAAUCCCCGCAACAAUAAGGCUAGUAACAUUCACAACCCAGUACUUAGAUACCUCCAGAGAGUCAUGGCUUGUACCAUUUGGGGUAGAAAAGAGGUAGGAACAACUAGGACGGAUGAACUUUUUAUGCUUUGGGCAAUGCUUAGUAACAAUCCCGUUAAUACUUGUUUCUACCUACUUGAUUACCUUUCCUCCAUAGGAGCUAGACCUGAUAAUAGAGCUGAGAUAGUAGUCGGUGGUAUCAUUACCUUCAUCGCUAGGAAGUUUGGAGCGGGUGAGGAAGAUGGGAUAAAUCCAAUUGAGGGCAACAAUAGACUUAAUAUUGAAACCCUUGUUGCUAUGAACUUCAUUAAGAUUCACCCACCCAUGACUUAUGCACUUCAACUUCGCAUACCACUUUUAUUUCUACUUCCUAACCCAUCUCGGACUAACCCCGAGGUGGAGGAAAAUUUGUUGUAUGUUGGUGAUGGAUUACAGGUACAUGAAGAGCAUAAUCAAGGUGACGAAGAAGGUGCACACAUGCACCAUGAAGAGGAGCCCCAUGACCAUAACGACAACAAUGAAAGAUGGGCAUGGAUGCAAACCGAGGUACAAAGGAUAAGCACCGAGCAACAAAGGCAAGGUGUUGAAUUAUCCGGGCUAAGAAAUGAUGUCCUACGGGGCAACCGCAUAUCCGAAGAAAAUAACCAAAUGCUUCGGAACAUGAUGCAACACUUCAACCUCCAAGGCCCUCCCUAUGGACCUCAAUAAAAAUGUGAGCUUUCCUCUUCCUCUUUUUUCACCUCAUCUCUUUAAUCUCUAUCUCACUCUUCUACCUCUCCUUCUCUUCUACUUUUCUUUUAUCUUGAAUCAUUGAGGACAAUGCUUCUCCUAAGUGUGGGGGGAGCCUAAUAAAGUGUCUUUAGUCGUAGUGUUUCCAAACUCCCUUGAACUUUAUUCUUUUGUUUUGUUUUAUUGUAAAAGGCAUGGUUAAGUAGCUAAUUUUUAUUGAAAAUAUCAUGACACAAAAAUUUUCAUUGUCUCCUCUUAUUUUGUUGAUUAUUGUACAUGAAAGCAAACUCUUGUGUUUUAAGUCUUCUUGAUAUACCCACAUCUUGUUUUAAAGUGAAUAAAAUUCUCCAAUGAGAAAAACACAAAGUUGCUUCCCUUGAGUAAAUGUAUGAAUAGGUAUUUUAAGGAAACGCGUUUUAAUCUUAGUGGUGCAUUAACCUUUAAAGAUUCUCAAAAUGCCAGUAGUAUAAGUCAGUAUAAGGGAGUUCAUGAAAAGCCAAAAAGCCAAAUAAAUUCCAAGAUCUCAUCAUUGAAUCUAGAUUGGGGAAGGAGGUAGGCCCUCCGACUUCCUACGUGAAGAUGAUUGUUAUCUUGAGGAAAAACUUUAAAACGCAUCAUUGAAUCUAGAUUGGGGAAGGGGGUAGGCCCUCCGACUUCCUACGUGAAGAUGAUGUUUUAAGGGAUACCAUUGAAUCUAGAUUGGGGAAGGGGGUAGGCCCUCCGACCUCCUACGUGAAGAUGUUGUUCCUUAAAUAAAGAACUUAAAAUGUGCAAAUGGCAAAGAACAAAGAUUCUCAAAUACUCCCAUCUCUCUUAUAUGAAUUAUAGAAGGAAUCUUUCUUGGUUGGUUUAGUGCUAGGAUUAGACCAUGUUUCCUCAUAAUGCCUAUCUUAUACAGGAGCAAGAAAAGGGUUGGACUUCACACACACACUCACUUGAAACUUGAUCGUUGGGUUGAAUAAAAAUUACAAGAAACACUUGAGUUUGUGAUUAGUGUACACUUGGGAUUUAAGCCCUUGAGGAGACAUGUGCUUUAAUUGAAUUGUCAUUUGAUAUAACUGUUGGUGCUACUAUGUUUAUGCCUUUUGCUUGAGGACAAGCAAAGAUUCAAGUGUGGGGGAGUUUGAUGAGUCAUUUAUAUACUAUUUUAAUAUGCUUUUUAGUUUAGUUUUAUUUAGAUUUUAUAUAAUUUUAUAUUAGUAUUAUUUCCUUUUUAGGAUAGUUUACUUUAAAUUGCAAUUUAUUAUAUUUCAGGGAAGAAUAUUGGAUGGAUUGAGUCUUGGAGCAAAAGAAAGGGAUUUGGAGCAGAUUGGACACGAAAAUAUGAAGAUUGGGAGACAAAAUAUGUCUCCCACAAGUCAGAAGCCUGGCACGGCCCGUGCUAGCCUUGGCACGGCCGGGCCACCCUCCAGAAGACCUUUUGCUGCUUUUGCUUGGGCUCUAAGCUAUUCUAUUUUGGCGCACAAUCUACCGUGGAAUAUUCUUGGAAUAUACUUGCUUAGAUUUUAAGUCAAUUGUGUACUAUAAAUAGAGUAGCUAGCCAUCACAAAUAUUCAUCUUUUCUUGGAAUGCAAUAUGUGACAAUUGUUUUCUAAUAAAAGUUCAUUUACUUUAUUGUUAUUUACUUUUAUGCUUUCUCUCUUCUUCUCCUUGUCUACGAUGAACGUCAGUGAGUAGACUUCUCUUGUCUUGGGAUUGUUGGAUAAGUCUAAUGACAUAAUCCUAAUCAAACCAAGCUUUAAACCUUAAUCUUAUGUAACCCUAAUUCCUUAUCUAAAUUCACCGCUUUAACAUGGAUCAACCAUUAUCAAACUGUGGAAACGAAAGUGGAGGGUUUGAUAAUUGUUUAUCCAUCAUCUCAAAUAUCAAUUCAUAAAACGAAAGUGGAGCUUUGAUAUUCGAACAAGUGAAUUUAGACAAGGAUUGCAAAGUCAGCGAAAUAGGCUUUGCAAUCUUUGAGACAUAUAGUUUCGAUCUUCAAGGGAACUAAUAACAAUCAAGUCAGCGAAAUAGGCUUGGUUGUUAGAGGAACCAAAAUCUAAUAGUAAUCAAGUCAGCGAAAUAGGCUUGGUUGCUAGAGGAACAAAAGAGAAACUGUCUUGAGAAAUUAGGUCUAACAUAAAGUUAUAAGUUUAAUAGUUUGGUUUGAGAAGGACUUGUCGUUAGGAUGAACCAAUAACCCCAAGGCUUUUAUCUUUUAUUUUAUUAUUUGCUCUUAAUUAAAAUCCCAAACUUUUCUACCUUAUAAACCUUUAGUCCAAUCAUUAUCUAAAGUUAAUUGAAUUCGUAACUCCCUGUCGGAACGAUACUCAUAUUUUACUACUUCGGUAAGACCGUGCACUUGCGGUUUUAUCCCAUCAGUCACUAAAAGUCAAAUUUCUUGUAAAUUUCUUGUAGUGAUACAAAGAAAAUAUAGGUUGAACCCGGGUAUGUGCCCAUACUCGCGAGGUGGUAAAACCGCCCCUGCCACUAGCCGCAAAAAUUCUAAAGAAAUAGAUUCAAAGUUGCCUCUUAUUCAACGUUAUAGAAUUGACUUGUAAGAAACUUUUAGUUGCGACAAUUUAAUUUAUUUCAAAUGUUUCAUAAGACUAAUUAGUGGCUUCUCCUUGUGAUCUGAUUAAGGCAUAUAAACAAAAAGCCAUGUUGAUUUUCAUAAAGUAUUUUGUCGAAAGAAAAGUUAAACUUAUCACCAGCUUCCAACCACUUUACUUUGCAAACUGAUCUAUAUCCAUAGUAGACAUUUGUGUCUUUAUUUCAGUCCUUAAUAACAUGCACUCAUAGAAUGCUAUGAAGAAUUUUGAGUUAGCAUCACCUUUCUGAAGCCAGUCAUCCUCGCCUUCUACCAAUUAAUACUUGUUUGAACCCGUGACAAAGAAUGCAAACUAACUGACAACUCAUGAAGCUCCUGCACCUCAUCUUCAAGAAGCGUAGAUUCCUCCCCUUUGUGUUCAGGGAAGAGUUAAUUGUUUUUUUUUUUUUUUUUUUUACAAAAGGGAAGAAUUAAUUGUUAAUGACCAAACUAAUUGUAAAUUGUUAAAAUAUAUGGGAUUAAUUGAUAUAUAGUAAGUUGCUAAAUAUAAGGACCAACUCGACAGUUGAAUCGUGUCAAGAACCUUUUUAAAAUACUCAUAAUCUCAAGGAUGUAUUUGAGAAUACUCAUAAUCUCAAGGACGUAUUUGAUAGGGCACAACAUAGUUAGGGACUAAUUUGAUAGUUAACUCGUUAAUAAUCCUUCUGAAUGGUGCGUUGGAUAGGUCAACUGGUUUUAGUUAAUCUGAUUAAAAUUAGUUAUCUUCACUGUCAAUCAUUUUUUUUGCGCAUUCUCGGGCGAUUUCACAGAGAAUUCAUUCUCUCACGUUUGCAUUUUAUUUGUUUCAUAUUUUCUUUCUAUGCUAUUUAAAAAUCACUUUAGUCUUUUCAUACUUAUCAUUCUUAUAUUCUUAAUUUUUUUUUGGCUUAAUUGCACUUUUUGACCCCUAUCUUUUCAAAAGUUGCGGUUAUGGAUCCCUAACUAAUUUAAAUACAAAACAGCCCCCUAUGUUUUGAUUUUUUGGCAGUUUUGGACCCCCAAGGCAAAAAAAAAAAAAAAAACCACACGUGGCACCUCACUUAGGAUGCCACGUCAGCGUUGACCGAGUCAACAAUGGACUGGGGGUCCAAAACUGCCAAAGAAUCAAAACAUAGGGGGUUGUUUUGUAUUUAAAUUAAUUAGGGGUCCAUAACCGCAACUUUUGAAAAGAUAUGGGUCCAAAAGUGCAAUUAAGCCUUUUUUUUUGAUAAUUUUUAGUAUACUUUUACUUUGAACAUAUAUUAUAAUUUCUAAUUUUUUUUUUGAAAGAUUAUAAUUUCUAAUUAAAUUGCUUGUCUGUGCAUUCAAAAAUUUAUUUUUUUCAUUAGUAAAGUAUACUUUGAAUAUGGUCCCUUAAGCGUAAUUGUUGACUCAGUCCCGGCUAGUACAACUAUAUGACGGUGAUAGAAUGUAUUUAUUUUUGCUUAUAAUUAUAAUUAUAACGUGGACAGCAUAACAAUCGUUGAUUUAAGAACGAAGCGAGUAUUGAAAGAGAAAGAAUGAUUGAAGCUAACGCGUCCUAUUUUGUUUGUGUAUUUUAAAAUAGUUGAGGGAUGAAUAAAAAAAGGAGUGGUUAUACUCAAAUAGAAGGUAGAUGAGUUGUAUAAUUAUUGUUUUGUAUUUUUUGUACUUUGUGUUUUGUCUUGUAAUAAUAGUUGACUUGACUCUUGAGUAACGAUGUCUUCCUCUGAUCAUCCAUGGAUCUACCACAUGUUCAUCAACUUCAGGGGGAAGGAAUAUUUUUUGAACUUAGAUAGAUUCUUUAAAUUUUGUUGGAAACAUUGUAAAUAAAAUAUAUUUAUUGAAUGUGGAUUGACUUUUAAAAUUGGGAAAAAUGACCAAAUUUCUUUAAAAAUGUAAUUUUAGAAAAGAAAAUACUAAAAUAGAUUAAAAAUAGUUAUUUUUUCUAUGUUAAAAUUAAUUAAUUCCUUUAUGUAUAUAUUGGUGAUUGAAAGAAAUAAUUAAAGAGAAAAAGAAGAAUUAAAUACAUAAAAUUAAAUUUCUAUUAUUCAAAAUUGUUUUUUUUUAUUGGUAAAGAAAGAUAAAUAUUGGUAAAAAAAAAAAUAAUUAAGUGAUUGGUAAAUUUGGAAAGAAAAAAUGUAACACCAAAAGCAAUUAUUUUAUAAGUUUUUUUAUAAUAUCCAAUAUUAUCCUUAUUGUUAUGAAGUGUUCUUUCUAUUUUAUAAUUUUAAUUGAUGAGUGUAUUCCCUUAGGUUUUGUUUGAGAGUUUGAAGGGGAGUGGAGAUGAGGGUUUUGAAGGAAAUGAAUGUGCAAGUGGGAAAAAUAGAAGACAUUGGAAGAAGAGGGUUUUGAGAGGUUAAUUUUUUAUUCAUAAUACAAAAUCUUUCUCAUUUUGGUUAACUCAAAUUGUGUUGGUGGAUGAUUUUGUUGGAACAAAAUGUGUUUCACAAUGAACCUUAUUAAGUUUUGAUGAUAACAAGGUAUUAAAAAUUGUCAAUUGGUUAUUACUAAUAAUUGUUCAAGUGUACAGGACCAAAGGCUACUCAAGUUAUUUCAAUAGGUCUUGGAAGAACAAUGGAAAGAAAAAGAAAUUCUGAGCAUCUGAAGAAAACUGCUCCUGAAGCUAAACUGCUCCUGAAGAGAUGACGUCAUCAGAAGCAGAAAGCUGCUCCUGAAGCUAAACUGCUCCUGAAGAGAUGACGUCAUCAGAAGCAGAAAGUCAUCAGAAGCAGAAAGUCAUCAGAAGCAAAAGUUUUCAUCAGAAGCAAUAUUUUCACCAGAAGCUACAUUUGAUCCUUUAAUCAAACUGAAGAUUCAAAGUUGCUGAUUCUCAAUUCAGUCUUAUCAAAGAAGAACGAAGAAUUGAAAGGGAGGUAUCAACGGAUAUAUGGAUAGCACUGAGCACUUGUCUCUCAUUAAUAGAGUUGACAAAGUACAAGUGUACAACCACUACCUCCACUACUCUGUUUUCUGUCUACGCUACAAGACAAAACAACAGCCAUGCCUGCAGAAUUUGUACAACUCAAGAUGGGAAUGAAUUUGAAGUUUAUCCUUCAAAGGACUACACCCAAAUCAGGCAAAAGAUCACUGGUGGAUAAUCAAAGGAUUUCAAACGACUCUUUAGACGUGCUGAUUAUCUCAACGUCUCUUUCACGCCUCUAUAUAAAGGAGUGAAGACUUGAAGAUUCAAGAUAGAGAUACAUAAGUUCAAAAGCGCCAAAACUCUGUCAAUUUGAUUCUACAAAGCACACUGAAUUUCUGCACUGAUUUGAUACAUCUUAGAAAUUCAAAGUCUAGAGUCUUUUCUGUAUUGUAUUGUGAACACCACUGAUUGUAUAUCAAGUGUUCAAUUCAAACUCAAUUCUCUGUAUUUUUGUUUGAUUAGAAGUCUCUUGCCUGCGUGCUUGAGCAUUAGAAGUCUCUUGCUUAGUGCUUGAGCAUUGGAAGACUCUUGCGUGUGUGCUUGAGCAUUGUUUUGUGAAGUCUCAUACUUUGAAAGUAUUGAGCAGUUGUAAUCUUGUGAUUAUAGUGAAAUCUCCUUGGAAGUGCAAGGGGGACUGGACUACUUCCGUGUUGUGGAAGGAACCAGGAUAACUGCCUGUGUCUUUGUCUUUCUUUUCUCUGCUCUGUUCUUUUCCGCUGCAAUCUGACUCUGAUCAUUUCAUCAGAAGCAAUCAAACUGCUUCUGAAGUUUUAUCAGAAGAAGAAUCCUUUUUAUUAAGAGAAAAAGAAAACACAAUUCAACCCCCCCCUUCUUGUGUUUUUCACCUUCAAUUGGUAUCAGAGCUUGCUCUGUUAUCACAGCACUUAACCGUGUUACAGUUCAAGAUCUAUUAGAAAAACAUGUCUGGAGAUGAGGAAUCAGUUACUCCAAAAUACACAAGUGUCAAGCAUGACUAUGAUACUGCUGACAAGAAAACAGACUCUGGAAAAGCUCCAAAGUUUAAUGGAGAUCCAGAAGAGUUUUCAUGGUGGAAAACUAAUAUGUACAGCUUUAUCAUGGGAUUGGAUGAAGAGCUAUGGGAUAUACUGGAAGAUGGAGUUGAUGAUCUGGAUUUGGAUGAAGAAGGAGCUGCUAUAGACAGAAGAAUACAUACUCCUGCUCAGAAGAAGCUUUAUAAGAAACACCACAAGAUAAGAGGAAUCAUUGUGGCUUCUAUACCUCGCACCGAAUACAUGAAAAUGAGUGACAAAUCUACUGCGAAAGCUAUGUUUGCUUCUCUUUGUGCAAACUUUGAAGGCAGCAAGAAAGUAAAAGAGGCUAAAGCUUUGAUGCUAGUUCAUCAGUAUGAACUUUUCAGAAUGAAGGAUGAUGAGAGUAUAGAAGAAAUGUACUCAAGAUUUCAAACUUUAGUUUCUGGAUUGCAGAUACUGAAGAAAAGCUAUGUUGCUUCUGAUCAUGUUAGUAAGAUUUUGAGAAGCUUACCUUCAAGAUGGAGACCCAAAGUAACUGCUAUUGAGGAAGCUAAGGAUCUAAAUACUUUAAGUGUUGAAGAUCUUGUUAGCUCACUCAAAGUGCAUGAAAUGAGUUUAAAUGAGCAUGAAACCUCUAAGAAGAGUAAAUCCAUUGCUUUACCAUCUAAAGGAAAGACCUCAAAGUCUUCCAAAGCCUACAAAGCCAGUGAAUCUGAAGAAGAAUCACCUGAUGGAGAUUCUGAUGAAGAUCAAUCUGUAAAGAUGGCUAUGCUGUCCAACAAGCUUGAGUAUCUGGCAAGGAAGCAGAAGAAAUUUUUGAGCAAGAGAGGUAGCUACAAGAACUUCAAGAAAGAAGAUCAGAAGGGAUGCUUCAAUUGUAAGAAGCCUGGUCAUUUCAUUGCUGAUUGCCCUGAUCUUCAGAAGGAGAAGUUUAAAGGCAAAUCCAAGAAAUCAAGCUUCAACUCCAGUAAAUUCAGAAAGCAAAUCAAAAAGAGCUUGAUGGCGACCUGGGAAGAUUUGGAUAGUGAAUCUGGUUCUGAUAAAGAAGAAGCUGAUGAUGAUGCUAAGGCAGCCGUUGGGUUAGUGGCAACAGUAUCAUCAGAAGCAGUAUCAGAAGCUGAAUCAGAUUCAGAAGAUGAAAAUGAGGUAUAUUCCAAAAUCCCUAGACAAGAACUUGUUGAUUCUCUAAAAGAACUUUUAUCACUGUUUGAACACAGAACCAAUGAGUUGACAGAUUUAAAAGAAAAAUAUGUUGAUUUGAUGAAACAACAAAAAUCAACUCUAUUGGAACUGAAAGCUUCUGAAGAAGAACUCAAAGGGUUUAACCUCAUAUCAACAACAUAUGAAGAUAGACUCAAGAGUCUUUGUCAGAAGCUACAAGAAAAAUGUGAUAAAGGUUCAGGCAAUAAACAUGAGAUUGCCUUGGAUGAUUUUAUUAUGGCUGGAAUAGACAGAAGCAAAGUUGCUUCUAUGAUCUACAGCACAUACAAGAACAAAGGCAAAGGGAUUGGAUAUUCUGAGGAGAAAUCCAAAGAAUACAGUCUCAAGAGCUACUGUGAUUGUAUCAAGGAUGGAUUGAAAUCCACCUUUGUGCCUGAAGGUACAAAUGCUAUAACUGCUGUUCAGUCAAAACCUGAAGCUUCAGGUUCACAGGCUAAGAUCACAUCAAAGCCAGAGAAUCUUAAGAUCAAGGUAAUGACAAAAUCUGAUCCUAAGAGUCAAAAGAUUAAAAUUCUGAAAAGAUCAGAACCUGUUCAUCAGAAUCUGAUUAAACCAGAAUCUAAAAUUCCAAAACAAAAGGAUCAGAAGAACAAAGCAGCUACUGCUUCUGAGAAAACAAUACCAAAAGGUGUCAAACCUAAAGUAUUGAAUGAUCAGAAGCCACUCAGCAUUCACCCUAAGGUACAAGGGAGGAAAAGUAAAACCUCCAAAACUAACCCAAAAGGACCCAUGAAGAUAUGGGUACCUAAAUCUGAAUUGGCCAAAAAUGCAGGUGUGCUUAAGGGCAAGAGAGAAACAAAGGUCAUGGUACCUAGACAGCGGAUGUUCAAGGCACAUGACUGGAGAGAAAGCUUUGUUCCUUACCCUUACAAUGAAAGAUGGAGGAGAAGUGAAGUUUGGUGGCAACCAAACUGGAAAGAUCAUUGGUACAGGUACUAUUGGUAAUUCCUCCAUCUCAAUUAAUAAUGUGUGGCUAGUAGAUGGUCUGAAGCAUAACCUAUUGAGCAUUAGUCAAUUUUGUGACAAUGGGUAUGAUGUAACGUUCAGUAAGACCAACUGCACACUAGUCAACAAGGAUGACAAAUCCAUUACAUUCAAGGGAAAGAGAGUUGAGAAUGUUUAUAAAAUAAAUUUCUCUGAUCUGGCUGAUCAGAAGGUAGUUUGCCUUCUGUCAGUGAAUGAUAAAAAAUGGGUAUGGCAUAAAAGGUUGGGACAUGCUAAUUGGAGAUUAAUUUCUAAAAUUAGCAAGUUACAACUGGUCAAAGGAUUGCCUAACAUUGAUUAUCAUUCAGAUGCACUUUGUGGUGCAUGUCAGAAAGGGAAAAUUGUGAAAAGUUCUUUCAAAUCUAAAGACAUUGUAUCAACCUCCAGACCCUUAGAAUUACUCCAUAUUGAUCUUUUUGGUCCAGUUAACACUGCAUCUUUAUAUGGAAGUAAAUACGGAUUAGUCAUUGUUGAUGAUUACAGCAGAUGGACUUGGGUAAAAUUCAUUAAAAGUAAAGACUAUGCAUGUGAAGUGUUUAGCAGCUUCUGCACUCAAAUACAAUCUGAAAAAGAAUUGAAAAUUUUGAAAGUCAGAAGUGAUCAUGGUGGAGAAUUUGAAAAUGAGCCAUUUGAACUUUUUUGUGAAAAACAUGGGAUUCUCCAUGAGUUUUCUUCUCCUAGAACUCCACAACAAAAUGGGGUUGUAGAAAGAAAGAACAGAACCUUACAAGAAAUGGCCAGAACCAUGAUCCAUGAAAACAACUUAGCUAAACAUUUUUGGGCAGAAGCAGUCAAUACUUCAUGUUAUAUUCAAAAUAGGAUCUAUAUCAGACCUAUGUUGGAGAAAACAGCAUAUGAACUCUUUAAAGGAAGAAGACCAAAUAUCUCUUACUUUCAUCAGUUUGGAUGUACUUGUUACAUCUUAAACACUAAAGACUAUCUGAAGAAAUUUGAUGCCAAGGCUCAAAGAGGAAUCUUUUUAGGUUACUCUGAAAGGUCAAAGCCAUACAGAGUGUAUAAUUCAGAAACACAAUGUGUUGAAGAAUCUAUGCAUGUAAAAUUUGAUGAUAGAGAGCCUGGAAGUAAAACUUCAGAGCAAAGUGAAAGUAAUGCAGGUACAACUGAUUCUGAAGAUGCAUCAGAAUCUGAUCAACCUUCUGAUUCUGAAAAGUAUACAGAAGUUGAAUCUUGUCCAGAAGCUGAAAUCACUCCAGAAGCUGAGUCUAAUUCAGAAGCAGAACCUAGCCCAAAAGCACAGAAUGAAAUUGCUUCUGAGGACUUUCAAGAUAACACUCAGCAGGUUAUUCAACCUAAAUUCAAGCACAAAUCUUCACAUCCUGAGGAGUUAAUCAUUGGAAGCAAAGAUAGUCCUAGAAGAACAAGAUCACAUUUUAGACAAGAAGAGUCUUUAAUAGGACUGCUUUCAAUAAUUGAGCCUAAAACUGUUGAAGAAGCUCUCUCAGAUGAUGGAUGGAUAUUAGCUAUGCAAGAAGAGCUAAAUCAAUUCCAAAGGAAUGACGUGUGGGAUCUGGUACCCAAACCUUUUCAGAAGAACAUUAUUGGAACAAAAUGGGUAUUCAGAAACAAGCUGAAUGAACAAGGAGAAGUAACCAGAAACAAAGCCAGACUUGUUGCUCAAGGCUACAGUCAACAAGAAGGCAUUGAUUACACUGAAACAUUUGCUCCAGUUGCAAAAUUGGAAGCAAUCAGGUUACUUCUAUCCUACGCAAUUAAUCAUGGCAUAAUAUUAUAUCAAAUGGAUGUCAAAAGUGCCUUUCUUAAUGGAGUCAUUGAAGAAGAAGUGUAUGUUAAACAACCUCCUGGGUUUGAGGAUCUUAAGCAUCCUGACCAUGUUUAUAAACUUAAGAAAUCACUAUAUGGCUUGAAACAAGCUCCCAGAGCUUGGUAUGAUAGACUAAGUAAUUUCUUAAUUAAAAAUGAUUUUGAAAGAGGACAAGUUGACACAACACUCUUCAGAAGGACUCUUAAGAAAGAUAUUUUGAUUGUGCAAAUAUAUGUUGAUGAUAUAAUAUUUGGUUCUACUAAUGCAUCUCUUUGCAAAGAAUUUUCUAAGUUAAUGCAGGAUGAAUUUGAAAUGAGUAUGAUGGGAGAAUUGAAAUUCUUUCUGGGAAUUCAAAUCAACCAAAGUAAAGAAGGAGUAUAUGUUCAUCAAACAAAAUAUACAAAGGAGCUUCUGAAGAAGUUCAAGCUAGAAGAUUGUAAAGUGAUGAACACUCCAAUGCAUCCAACCUGCACCUUAAGCAAAGAAGAUACUGGAACAGUAGUAGACCAGAAGCUUUACAGAGGUAUGAUUGGUUCUCUGUUAUACCUCACUGCAUCUAGACCUGAUAUUUUAUUCAGUGUAUGCUUGUGUGCAAGAUUUCAAUCAGAUCCUAGAGAAUCUCAUUUAACUGCAGUUAAGAGAAUCUUCAGGUAUCUGAAAGGAACAACUAAUCUUGGACUCCUGUAUAGGAAAUCCCUAGAUUAUAAGUUGAUUGGAUUCUGUGAUGCUGAUUAUGCUGGUGAUAGGAUUGAAAGAAAAUCAACCAGUGGAAAUUGUCAAUUCCUGGGAGAGAAUCUGAUAUCCUGGGCAAGCAAAAGACAAGCAACUAUUGCUAUGUCUACAGCAGAAGCAGAGUACAUUUCAGCUGCAAGUUGUUGCACACAACUGCUUUGGAUGAAACAUCAGUUGGAAGACUAUCAGAUCAAUGCUAACAGUAUUCCCAUUUAUUGUGAUAAUACUGCUGCUAUUUGUUUGUCAAAGAAUCCAAUUCUACAUUCAAGAGCCAAGCAUAUUGAAAUCAAACACCAUUUUAUCAGAGACUAUGUUCAAAAAGGAAUUUUAGAUAUACAAUUCAUUGAUACUGAACAUCAAUGGGCUGACAUAUUUACAAAACCUUUGUCUGUUGAAAGAUUUGAUUUUAUUAAGAAAAAUUUGAACAUGCAUUUUGGGUCUGAUUGAAAAAUUGCUUGCCUCUGAAUAAGAAGUUUGGUUCUGAAGUUUAUUCAGAAGCAUUUUGGUUCAUCAGAAGCUCUUAAUUGAGGUUCUGAGGAAAAUGUGCUUCUGAAGAUGACGUCAGCGCUAAAACUUCAGAAGUGUUAUUCUUUGCUUCUGAAUAGCUUGGUUAGUGGGAACGUUGGAAGUUACUUUAUGUAACAGCUGUCUCAUUACCCAAAAGGUAGUUUUCUGAAGAGUCUCUGACGUGGUUUAUUUGUAUUGGAGUAUAACAAAAAGGGCAAUGAUGUUUUUAUUCGCUUUUUAACGUACUUACACGCGCCCCCAAUUUGUCAUUAAUGCUGUGUUUGUCUGUCCCCUCUGAAUUACAAACGUUUUAAUAAAAACACUAAGUCAUUUCACACACUUCUCACUUCACAACAAACACUUUCUAUUUUCUUCUCAACCCUCUGCGAAAGUAAGCGCAUUCUCUCAUCCUCUCAAAAACUCCUUAGAACCCUAAAACCACUUCAUAUCAAUGGCUUCUUCAAGUUCUGCAUCUGGUUCAUCAUCAAACGAACAACAAGGAGAAGCUCCUGCUUAUGAGAUAAAGGGAAGAACCAUGUCCUUGGAGGAAUGGGAAUUAAACAUUCAAUCAGAAAGUCCGGUGGAUUUUGAUUCUUUGGCCGCUCACGACUGUGACAUUGGCAAGUACUACGAGAAACAAGGUCUGGGAAGGUACUUCAAUCUUCUAAAUGGACCAACUUAUCAAACACUGGUUCGUCAUUUCUGGGUUAGAGCCAGCAUCUACGACAGGGAAGCCGCCAAGAUUGAAGAAGAUGAAAAAGUUCUUCUCAAUCCUGAACUCAAAGGGAAGUCUAGAGCGGAAAUGGGCUUGGAAACUUUCUCCAAAACCCAGAUAAGAUCAAGCAUCAUGGGAAUCCGUGUCUGGAUCACUGAGGACACUAUUGCCUUUGUCAUCAGAAGACCAGCAGAAGGAGAACAUGAGGCUGGGAUUUCAAAGCCAAAGGACAGCCCCUGGAAUGCUAUUGUUAACAAAACUCUCUACAACAAGGUAAAGGACUUUGCCUAUUCUGACAUGAACACCAAGACAAAGGUUAUGUUGAAGAUUCAGAACGAAAACCUACUACCAAAAGGUGGUGGUGGUGAUCAGCCCUCUCUGGAACAUAAAAUCCUCUUACACUUUGUCAUAAAGGGUGUAGAGGCAAAUAUUCCCAGAUACAUAUUCAGACAUAUGGUUCAUCAACUCAGAGAGAGUCAACUGAAUAAAAGGUCUUGGGUACCCUAUGGAAGACUACUCUCUGAGAUUUUCCAUCAGGGAGUGUUAUCAUGGUUUUUGGGUGCCAAGCCAUUAAUUGGACUUGAACCUUUCGACCGUUGAUAUCUCUCUUUUUUCUUGGGAAGGGAAAAAUUGAGAAAAAAACCCUUAGAUUCUAAGUUCGGGGGUCGGUUUUACUACGGGAAGGUGUUAGGCACCCGGAGUAACUAUAGUCCUCUAUAGGAGCCGUUUUCCUAAGUCUAUAUUCACGCUUAUUUUUACUUACUUUUGAAAAUGGGAGGUUUAUUUAGUUAAGAAUGGGGGUGAGAAGAAGUAGAAUUUUGAUUUUAUUUUGGCUUGGAUGAGUUUUGACUCAUUGCCUACGUACCCUUUUAAGGGAUCAAAACCGUUCGUAGUUCUUGCUAAAAAACUUGUUUUUGUUCUAAUUGUUUGAUUUUAAGUUUUGAAAAUGGUUUUGAAGAAGGAGAUUGGGAGGCUUCAUGAGCAUUAGAUUUAGCAAAAAAGUGAGGUUUGAUUAGUGAUUAGAAAGAAAGUCUAAAUGGUUAAGAUGAAUUGAAUUUUCCUUAAGAAAAAGAAAAGAAAAAAAAUGAAGUGUUGACUUCAUAUUUAUUAUGAAAUUUUUUGAAGUGAAGUUCAAUUGUUUUUUUGGAAAAAGAUGGAUUUUCUCUAAGUGUUUAAAACCUAAACGCUUAUUUAACCAUACAAUCCUAUGCAUACAUCUAAGGUGAGUGUGUGCGUGUCGGUGCGCCAUAGUGUCCAUAGUCCAUAUUACAACAUUUCCUAAAUACAUUCUAUGGCCUCUUUGCCAAGCUACAAACCAAUGAUAACAAAUUACAUCACUAAAUGAAUCAAAACUUGCAAAAAAAAAUAAAUGCUAGACUAAAGAGGGUGGAGAGUGGAGAGGGUGGUGGAAUGCUUAUGAAAUGUAUGGCACAUGAGAUGAAAUGGUUAGUAAUCAUAAAGCACAAAAUAGUAGGAAAUAAUCAAAAGGAAAUGUAUAAGAAUGGCAAAGGAAAGGUAAUAAAGUGGCAAUAAACCUAAAACUUUUGAUGUGAUACCUAAAGGUGCUUGUAACCCAUAAUCAUCACAUCAUGGCAAUUUUGAAAGAAAUUUUGUUUCAAGCCAUGACAUGAAAUUAGUGGAAGUACAUGCAAGCAAAGUAUCACACCAAACAUAAAGAAAUUUACCACUUUAUUCCUAAAAAUAAACGCUUAUUACUUGUAAAACAAGAAAUCCAUAAAAUCACAUCCAAACACAGCAAAAAUAAACACAAUUCCAGAGGCAUAUUCAUCACCAUAUUAGGCAUCAUUUAUCCAUGUCAUACUAUCAAAAUGUCAAGAACAAAACAUAGCAAAAUGCAUACAAAAAACAUAAAAACACAUGGAAUUAGUUCACACCAUUUUAACAUCUUUUUUACAUGCAAAGAUACCCUAAAAAUACCAAGAAUAUAUCAAGAAACCACUAGGAUUUUUUUAGAAAUUUUGUAAACAAAAAUGAGCAGGCCACAGGUGCAGAUAGCAAAGAAAAUGGUGUAAAUAGCAUACAAAAGCAAGCAAAAAAAACGUAAAACCUUAAGCCCAAACCAAAACCCAAUACAGACUGGGCCUGGAUCAUCCAAAGGCCUUAGAGGCGUUGGAUUGAUCCAAACCUAGAUCUGACGGUUCAAAACACGCAGCGCAUGGUAACACAGAUCAAACACGUGGGAGCAAACGCAUCACAGCCAUUCAAAAGAGAAACCCUAGAUCCUACGGUCCAAAAAGGAAACCAAAGUGAACCGGACCGGUCCAGGUGUCUAUAUAAACGUAAGGACACCGGUCCAGCUCACUUUGCUCACCUCUUUCUCUCUCUAAGCUCUUCUCUCCUCUCAGUCCUCUCUCUUCUCUCCAGAAAACCACCACCGGAGGUGAUGAAGCUACGGCGGAGACCUUGAAGGUCCGCCGGAAACUUCAUCUUCUCCGGCGAGACUUAUGAACUUCCGGUGACCUAAAUUUCCAGAUUUCAAAGAUUCUUACUCCUUUUGAUUCGUCCUUUAACCCUAAACACGAAUCCAGCAACUAUUUUUUCAAAUACGGUUCGAAACGACGUAGAUCUUGAAGGAACUUUGUACGGUUUUGAAAUGAUUUUUGAUUUUUGAACAAAAACGUUUAGAUUCUUACAUCGUUUCGUUGUUUGAUUGAUUUUCUGGUAUGCGUUCUUGCUUUCAAAACUUAGAUCCUUAUGGAUCUAGGUUUUGUGUUUACGGUUACGGCUUUGGCUUUGAAUUCUGGAAAUCUUUGGAUUCGGUUUGUUUUUUACUUCACUGAUUCAUGCUUUUUUUUUAAAGAAAAUGAUGUUGAAGUUAUGCUUUUACCUGUGAUUUCAAUUGGAGGUGCUGAUGAAGAUUUCUUCGGAAAACUUCAGAUGCGUUUCUAUUGAUUCUUGCUGCUUUGAACCGAAAAUAAAUCGGUGUUCUUCUUUCUCACUGAUUCUUCGUGAUUUUGGCUGGAAACUUCAUCUUCUUUCUCUGCUUCUUUCUCACUGAUUCUUCUUUGUGAUCGGUGCUGGAGUUUGCUGCUGCUGCAGCGAGCUCGUGCCUUGAAUUGCAAAGAAGAUGAUUCGAUGAUGAUGAUUCCUUAGGAAUCUCUGAGAAUCAAUGGAAAAUCCAAUGAAUUUUGAUGAUUUUUUGGUCUUCUGGAAAUCUAGGGUUUGGAUUUUGUUCUUGCUUGUUCUUGGAGAAUUUCUGUUUUUGAUCUGUAACUGAAUGGAGAGAGAAAAGAAAUCUGUUUGUGAUGAAUUUCUGACUUUUUGACUGUGCAUUGAAUGCGCCUUUUAUAGGCUGCCAUGUGUGCAUUGGGACCAAUAGGAAAUCGACAUGUGGCAUUGGACUUAAAAUGGACUUUGGACCUUUCUGCAAUUUUGUAAAAUAUGGGACUGGACUGCAAUUUUAAAAACAGAACUAAAAAAAAUAAAAAAAUAAAAAUUGGACAGUUUGGACUUAAAUGCAAUUUUAAAAAGUUGAAGGAUUAAAAUGCAAAGUAAAAAUAAAAAAUGAAUUAAAAUAUGUAAUUUGACUAAACGUAAAGCGAAAUAGAAAUAAAAAUAAAAUCGACAAAACGGACUAAAACGAACCAAUGGCCUAAAUGAGGUACUUCAAAGUAACCUCCCUAUGUCAAAAUUUUGUGUGAAAUGACCAAAAUGCCCCUAGGGCUAAAACGACCUAAACAGAUUCAAAUUGAUCUGACACUGACUCAGACGCAAAUUUAAAAUGAACUUAAUCAAGAUUUACUAAUGAAAAUGCAAAAACAAUCUGAAAAGACUCAGAGACAGUCACAAGGAUGAAAAUGGGUCCCACUGCAGGAAAUGACCAAAAUACCCUUCUGUAUGACUUUUUGCAAAUUUUGAAAUAAACUGUAGAAAAAGCAAUGCAAUGAUUCAGAGACACUUCUGAAUGACUUACAAGACAAGUAAAGACACUUCAAAAGGUUUUAUGCAAGAAAAACAUAAGUAAAAUUGUGAUUGGAAAUACUGCGAGGCAGAGACAAUUUGAACUUUGCAGUUGAAAUCUGAUAAUUGACAAAGUUUGAAAUGAAAUUGGGCCCAGUAUUUUUAGGUCCAAAAACAGGGUAUAACAGCUGCCCCUAUUUAAGUUUCUUUGUCUGGAGAGUCAAGAGACGGAGUCUUUGGCUUGACAGGACGAAGAUACUUAAAUAUUAGCAUUUGCACUGUGUUUGGACGUAAAAAUACGCCUACCCAUUUUCAAAUAAUAUGCAUGCCAUGCAUCAUUUGGAUUAUGAAUGCAAGACCUCAUGGGGAUUGGAAUUAACAAAAUAUGUCGUAUCCAUUGCAGGAUUGGUAGACAUUGACAAAGAUAGUGAAUAGCAGAGUAACGGGAAACUAGAAACAAAUUGGACAGGUACAAGCUGUUCUUGGAUUCAAACUAGCCACUUGACCGGGGAUGAAACAAACAGACAACUGCGAGUUGUUCUUAUGGAUUCGAACUGGUCACUUCACAGGGGAUAGAGGUUACUGGACAAACAUGAGUUGUUCUUAUGAAUUCGAACUGGUGACUCACUUGGGGAUAUUGGAAAGUGCGAGUUGUUCUUACGGAUUCGAACUGGUGACUCGACUGAAAGCAAGGCAAAUAGACAGGUGCGAGCUUGUUCUUGGAUGCGAACUGGUUACUCCACCGGACAGAAACAGAUAGACAGGUACAAGCUGCUCUUGGAUUGAGCUAGUCACUUGACCAAACGGAAACAUAUAGACAGGUACAAGCUGCUCUUGGAUUGAGCUGGGCACUCGACCGAUAACAUUGAAAAGUAAAAGGGUACAAGUCGUUCUUGGAUGCGAACUAGUAACUUGACCAAACAGAAACACAUUCACUGGGGAUUGGUUUGUUGACAAAAUAUAGAUUGAGGUUGACUUGACGUCGAUUUGAAUUGAAAGGCAGAAAUUGACCGAUAUUAUUGGCUCACAAGGUUUUGACAGAGAACCUGACAUGAGUAUUGAAUUGAGACUGAUGUUGACAUUGGAAAUGCAAUAUGCAUGGAUGAUAUAACAAUUUCAUUAAAUGCAUGGGCACGUAAUAUGCAUGAUUAUGCAUGUAUGAAUGCUUGUAAUGCAUGACCGUUGGCAUUUUGUAGGCACGACUUCACGGGGAAGACAAGACAUUAGAGUAUUGGGCACGUAGUGGCUCGUGCUAUAUUACACAUUCUUGGAAAUCCUCUUUGGGGAUGACGUCGUUGGGAGACGUAUCGGAACCAUGGCUGAGGGCAGGUAGCUAUGCAUCUUGCUGGGGAUAGAAUCUUGGAAGACCCGACUGGGGAAAACGCCGUUGUGCUGGGCAUUUCAGCGCUGGGUAUGUUGUAGACAUUGCAUCUGUGGUCAAUGCUUUUGCAUGUUAUAUUCUCAUUUUCAUUCAUCAUUUUUUGCAUCCCAUUUUUGCCUGGAUCGCCCUUUCGGGUUUUCGGUCCACCGGGGAAAUAAAUUCUUUUCAAUGCCCCAUUUUUGCCUGAACUGCCCUUUCGGGUUGUCAAUCCAGCGGGGUGCUCAUUUUUGCCUAAGCCGCCCUUUCGGGUUUUCAACUUAGCGAGCUCAUUUAUUUUCAUGCAUUUUCAUUCUGUUUUUUCAUUCUUGCCAUUGACCACAGAUUAUCUUGGAGGAGAACCUGCUGGUAACAUAUAUUGAAAUAGACACCAACAUACUCUCGCUCAUGCAUGUUUCAUUUGAAUGUACCCUGUUGCUCAGGUUUGCUUUUCAAAAUAGACAAAAGGUUUUCAAUUUUCAAAAUGUUUGUUUCAAGUAUUGUCAUUAUCAAGAAAGAAAAUGUUUUGUAUAUAGCUUUGAAAGUAGAAGAAAAUAGAAUUUCAAACAAAAGCACAAGCUCAAAUUGAUGUAUAAGAGUGGUGGUCAGCCAAAGGCGUGACUCCACGGAUUCACAAAGCUUGGAAAAUGGUAAUUUUAUUGGUUGGUGAUACAUUGAACACAGUAAUCAUGACAUUUCCUAGAAACUUUGAAUUCGCAAGCAUAGGAGCUUUUGAUGAAGAUGGUCAUUAACAGCUGCAGAUGCCCCAAGGGGACGGUGGUUAGCCAGAUAUAGUUACUUGCCUUUUGCUUCAAUCUCAUUUUUGCAUGAACCGCCCUUCCGGGUUUUCGGCUCAUCGAGACGCUCAUUCUUGCCUGAUUUGCGUACAAUCUCAGCGAGCUUUUCAUGUUUGUUUUUUUUGUCCCUUAUUUUUGCCUGGACCGCCCUUUCGGGUUUUCGAUCCACCGGGAAGCGCAUUUUUGCCUAGGCCGCCCUUUCGGGUUUUCGACCUACCACGCUGUUCUUUUCAUAUUUCUAGGCAAAGUAUUUCUUGACUAUAUCGGCAUUCACUGGAUUUGGAAGUUCUACACCAUCCAUGUGUGUAAGGAUUAAAGCACCACCGGAGAAGGCCUUCUUGACAACAUAAGGACCUUCAUAGUUAGGCGUCCACUUGCCCCUUGGGUCGAGUUGCUGGCUUAUCCUCCUUUUCAAUACAAGUUCCCCUACCUUGAAUUCUCGAGGAUGGACUUUCUUGUCAAAGGCAGUCUUCAUUCUUGCUUGAUAUGACUGUCCACGAGCCAUGGCAUCCAUACGUUUUUCCUCAAUCAAAUUCAACUGAUCAUACCGGCUUUGGCACCAUUCAGCCUCGGAUAACUUUGCUUCCAUGAUCACACGGAGAGAUGGGAUCUCCACUUCCAAAGGAAGAACUGCUUCCAUACCAUAUACAAGAGAGAAAGGAGUUGCCCCGGUUGAACUGCGCACGGUAGUGCGGUAGCCAUGCAGAGCAUAGGGUAACAUCUCAUGCCAGUCCUUGUAAGUAGUUACCAUCUUCUGGACGAUUCUCUUGAUAUUCUUGUUGGCGGCCUCAACUGCACCAUUCAUCUGAGGUCUAUAAGGAGAAGAGUUAUGAUGCUCAAUUUUGAAUUCUUCACAAAGAGCUUGCACCACAUUGUUGUUCAGGUUGGUACCGUUGUCGGUAAUAAUCUUGCUAGGAACACCAUAUCGACAGAUGAUGUUGUUCUUGAUGAACUUAGCUACCACUUGCUUGGUCACAUUGGUAUAAGAUGCUGCUUCAACCCAUUUGGUAAAGUAGUCAAUUGCCACUAAGAUGAAACGGUGACCAUUUGAAGCUUUCGGUUCAAUUCUUCCAAUCAUGUCGAUGCCCCACAUUGAGAACGGCCACGGGGAUGACAUAACAUUGAGAGCGUGCGGAGGCACAUGAAUCUUAUCAGCAUAGAUUUGACAUUUGUGGCAUUUUCUGGCGUACUGGUAGCAAUCAUGCUCCAUGGCCAUCCAGUAGUAACCUGCUCGUAGCAACUUUCUUGACAUAGUAUGUCCUGUAGCAUGGGUCCCGAAGGUACCGUCAUGUACAUCAUGCAUUAACUGCUCUGCUUCAUGUUCAUCAACACAUCUUAAUAAUACCAUGUCAUAGUUCCUCUUGUACAGAAUAUCUCCGUCUAACAGGAAUCUACUGGCCAAUCUUCUCAGGGUCUUCUUAUCUUGUUUGGAAGCACCCGACGGAUACUCACGGCUCAGCAAGAACUGUUUGAUGUCGUAGUACCAGGGUCUAUAGUCAACCACAUUCUCACCAGCCUGAUCGAUCACAUCCCCAAUAGCAAACACAUGCGAAGGUCUUUCAAGGCGUUGCACUUUGAUUAAUGGCACAUCAUUCCAAUGGUUUACUCGAAACAUGGAGGAUAGAGUAGCAAGAGCAUCAGCCAUUUGGUUCUCAUCACGAGGAAUAUGGUGCAGCUCAACCUUUGUAAAAUAUGUCAGCAAACGUCUCGCAUAAUCACGAUAAGGAAUCAAAUUAGCAUGGUGGGUCUCCCAUUCACCCUUUAUCUGAUUGAUGACGAGCGCAGAAUCUCCAUAGAUGUCGAGGUGUUUGAUUCUCAUGUCAAUUGCUUCCUCGAUCCCAAAGAUACAUGCUUCAUACUCCGCCAUAUUGUUGGUACAUUCGAACAAGAUUCUGGCGGUAAAAGGAAUGUGAUGCCCCUGCGGGGAUACAAUGACUGCCCCAAUUCCCUUGCCAUAAGCAUUGACAGCACCGUCAAAGACUAAACCCCACUUGCUAUUGGGAUCUGGACCUUCAUUAAUCAACGGUUCUUCGCAGUCUUUGGAUUUCAAAUACAUGAUCUCUUCAUCAGGGAAGUCGAAUUCAAUUGGUUGGUAAUCGUCAAGAGGUUGAUAAGCAAGGUGAUCGGCAAGAAUGCUGCCUUUGAUUGCCUUUUGAGUUUUGAACACAAUAUCAUAUUCAGACAAAAGCAUCUGCCAGCGUGCGAUCUUCCCAGUAACGGCCGCUUUCUCAAAGAUAUACUUUAUCGGGUCCAUUCUGGAUAUCAGCCAAGUCGUAUGAUUCACCAAAUAAUGACGCAGGCGUUUGGCAGCCCAAGCUAGAGCACAACAAGUCUUUUCAAGCAUUGUAUACCGAGUUUCACAAUCGGUGAACUUCUUGCUUAAAUAGUAGAUAGCAUGCUCUUUCUUUCCGGUUUCAUCUUGUUGACCAAGCACGCAUCCCAUGGAUUCAUCAAAUACUGCUAAAUACAUGAUCAAAGGCCUUCCUUCCACGGGUGGGACAAGGAUAGGUGGUUCCAGCAGGUAAUUCUUGAUGCUAUCAAAAGCUUCUUGGCAUUCAUCAUUCCAUACAACAGGCUGGUUCUUUCUAAGUAGCUUGAAGAUCGGCCCGCAGGUUGCAGUCAUAUGAGAUAUGAAUCGGGAGAUGUAAUUCAAACGUCCCAAGAAACCUCUGACUUGCUUCUCUGUCCGUGGAGCUGGCAUUUCUCGGAUGGCCCGGACUUUAUCAGGGUCGACUUCAAUGCCCUUUUGGCUGACAAUGAAGCCUAAUAACUUUCCGGACCUGACACCGAAUGUACAUUUGUUGGGAUUCAAUCGCAGCUGGUAUUUUCUCAACCUUUCAAACAUCUUUGUUAAAUAUUCAACAUGCUGCUCCUCAUCUGCUGACUUCACAAUCAUGUCAUCCACAUAUACCUCAACUUCUUUGUGAAUCAUGUCAUGAAACAGAGUGGUCAUUCCCCUUUGGUAGGUAGCACCAGCAUUGAUUAGGCCGAACGGCAUCACCUUGUAGCAGAAAGUACCCCAUGGAGUGAUAAAAGAUGUCUUUUCUCUAUCUUCAGGAGACAUCUUGAUUUGAUUAUAACCGGAAAAACCGUCCAUGAAGGAGAACACCUUAGAUUGAGCAGUAUUAUCAACAAGCACAUCAAUAUGAGGUAAUGGAAAGUUGUCUUUUGGACUGGCCUUGUUCAGGUCUCUGAAGUCAACACACAUCCGGACUUUACCAUCCUUCUUUGGCACGGGCACAAUAUUGGCAACCCAUUCGGGAUACUCAACUGUCAUGAGGAAACCCGCAUCAAUCUGCUUUUGAACUUCAUUCUUGAUCUUGAGAGCCAUAUCAGGAUGAGUCCUUCUCAAUUUCUGCCUGACGGGAGGACAUUCAGGCUUGGUAGGGAUCCGAUGCUCCACGAUCAUAGGGUCUAGACCUGGCAUAUCUUCAUAGGACCAUGCAAAAAUAUCCGGAUAUUCCCGGAGGAGUUGGAUAAUCUUCUGCUUAACCCCUUCCUCUAGAGUAGCACCAAUCUUGAUUUCUUGCUUAUUUUCCUCGGUACCUAUGUUGAUAAGCUCAAUUUCUUCCUGGUGAGGCUGAAUGGCUUUCUUUUCUUGCUCAAGUAACCGAGUAAUCUCAUAUGGUAUACCAUCACCUUCCUCAUCUUCGGCUUCAUACACAGGGAAUUCAAAAUUUGGAGGAACCGUAGGAUUACUGUGUUCAACGGGUUUAUUAUGGUUCAACCUGCAUAUAAUGAUUGGAUGAUUUUAGAAAGAGUUUUUUUUUUUUCAUGCAGAUUUUUGAAAUUAAUAAGAAAAUACAGACAUUUUGGUUUUUUCUGGCAUUACCAUUGUUUCCAAGGGAAAAAGCACUAAAAAAAAAAAAUAGUCGUGGAAGAAACGACAAAAUUUUAUUAAUCAACGGCAAUGCCGAAACAAACAUGCCCUUACAGAAAAUAUCACUCUCGCUUUGGGCAGAGCGAGAGGAUUGUUAUUUUUGAAAACAAAGCAUUAAAGCAACAAGACACAUUACUCAGAAACAUGCAUUAUUGAAGGAAUGUCAAUGGCAUCCCAAUCUCUCGCAAUGCCUCCUGGUGUAACAAAUACAGGCCUGAGACCAGAUCCAGUGGCUUCUUCAGAGAUAGCAUUAACAAACCCAGCACUGUGGAAGACUCCCGAGGAAACUCUUGAUGACGGGGAGAACCCGAGACCUUCUUUACGCUUGUUCUCACAGAGCUGUAUCACCUUGCCCCAGCCGGCAGUCUGACCUUCUUGAAUGGCUCUCUGAGCAUCCUUCAAUGAAGCCAUAGCAGCCCCAGCUUCCUUAGACUCUGCACCUUCAAUGGUCAAACCUUGGAAAGCAGUUCCUUCAGCAGACCCUGCUUCAAUACAAGAAAAAGAAGACAAUUGGCUGACUAAGUAUGCUUCUUCACCAUGGAUUGUAACGAGUUUUCCAUUCUUCACAAAUUUCAACUUCUGAUGUAAGGUGGAAGUAACUGCACCUGCAUCGUGUAUCCACGGUCUUCCCAGCAGGCAACUGUAGGAUGCAUUAAUGUCCAUCACUUGGAAGGUAACCAAGAAAUUCUCAGGGCCAAUGGUUAUCGGCAAGUCUAUCUCUCCCAGCACAUUCUUUCGAGAUCCAUCAAAAGCUUUGACCAAGAAAGUACUUCUUCUCAACGGGGUCCCACGGUAGCUCAACUGAUCUAGAGUUGUCUUGGGCAUUACAUUGAGAGAGGAACCGGUAUCUACCAACACAUUUGAUAUCAUGUCUGAUUUACAGUUCACCGAGAUGUGCAAAGCCAGAUUGUGACUCUUUCCCACUUCCGGCAGCUCUUCUUCACUAAACCAGAGAUUGUUACAAGCAGUAAUAUUUCCCACUAUGCCACCGAAACGAUCUACCGUAACUUCGUGGUCAACAUAUGCCUGCUCCAGCACUUUCAACAAGGUAUUCCUGUGAGCCUCGGAGCUCAAGAGCAAUGACAAUACAGAUAUCUUCGAAGGAGUCUGCAGCAACUGAUCAACGAUCUUGUAGUCGCUCCUCUUUAUUAUCCUCAAAAUCUCAUCUAAAUUUGAAUCCUCUAUAGAUUUGCCUGACUGGUUCACAUCUGUAGCAAUGGGUGAAACAACGGUUGGAGUUGCUUCUUCAACUGGCGGAAUGGUCGGUGUAGCCACUUUCUUCUGAAAUAAUGGCGGACGAACCUUCCCGCUUCUCAGCGCUGCAGAAGUCCCUUCGGCAAUAUUGCUUACUGUGGCAAAGGAGGCUAGAGGCACCUCUACUCCAUUUUCUAUCAUAGUAGCAUUGUACUUGUAUGGAACAGCCUUAUCCGAAACAUAAGGAAUUGGUCCUGGCAACCUUAUCACCAAAGGCUCAGCAUUCUUCUUCAAAGGUGUACUCUUGACAGGCGGAUCGUGAAAAACUGGCACGACCACGCAAACAUCACUGACAGUCAGAAGAUUAUCAUCCAUCAAGCUUUGGAUGUCGUCUCGAACAGCAUGGCAACCUAAAGGAUCACGGAGGCAUCCUAGACACUUGGCAUGCUCAUGGCUGAACAGGGAAGCUUUGCACAGCUUGAUGUGCAGAGGCACCAGAGGAGUUGCGACGUUGCGGACAUCAAGUCUAGGAGCUUCCUCACACACUUCGAUCAUAUUCACAGCGGCAUGAUUUGGUAGCGGAUUGUCAAGGACAUGUGGAACAUUAUUCUCAAAAGUCAGCUUCCCUUGAUCGAUGAGCUUCUUCACGAUAUACUUCAAAGCAUAACACCCCUCGACAUCAUGACCUAGGGCACCUUGAUGAAAGUCACAUUUGAGAUCAGACCUGAACCUUGGAGGCAACGGAUCAGGUGGAGGCUUGCCCUGUCUAGUUGUACAAUGCCCUCUCUGGAGUAAAGUUGGAAGCAACUCAGCAUAUAACAUCGGUAUCGGAGGGAAAGUAGGCCUAGCUUGCUGAUUUUGUUGUUGUUGUUGAACCGGCAUCUGUUGUUUCAUCUGUUGGGCAAUCGCAUUGACGGGCACUUGAGGCUGGCCCGGCGGCAAAGGGUACUGAUGAUAAAACGGUGGGAAGAACGGAUGCUGAGAAUACGGCAUAUAUGGGUAUGACGGAGGCAUUUGAGCUGCAUUGAUAGGAGCAACAGUAGCCAUUGAUUGACCUGCUCCAGCUGACACCAUCCCCACUUCAGUUUCUUUCUUCUUGUGGUGUCCAUUACCAUACCUCUUCGACGCACUUGCAGAAGAUUCAGCUUUCUCAAACACAAUAAUUCCAUCCCUGACGGCUUCCUCAAGACGGGUUCCCAUAGUGACCAUCUCCGAAAAGUUGUUCGGGGCAGCGAUGAUCAUCCUCUCAACAUAAUCUUUCUUCAACGUCUUUAAGAACGUCUGGGUCAUUUCUUCUUCAUCUAAAGCAGGGGUGAUACGGGCAGCCGCCCCUCUCCACCUUUGCGCAUAUUCACGGAAGCUUUCCUCCUUCUUCUGAGAUAGGGACCUGAGAAACUCCCUAUUUGGCUUCAGUCGAGUGUUAAACCCGUAGUGGCUCUUGAAAGCGGUGGCUAACUCAUCAAAGGUAUGGAUGUCAUUCUUACUCAAACUAGUAUACCACUCUGCGGCAUCCUCCAUCAGACUAUCCUGAAAACAGUGGAUCAUAAGGGAAUCAUUGUCUUUGUAAUUGCCCAUCUUCCGGACGUAUUUGAUGAUGUGAUUUUGAGGACAAGUUAGCCCGUUGUACCGGUCGAAGUCCGGAAUCUUGAACUUUUUAGGAACAUCCACUUUUGACACUAAGCAAAGGUCUUGAGUUUUGACAGAGUCUGCAUUCCCUCGAUUGGCCUGGAUCUCGUGACGGAGUUCUUUAGCAAGUUCCUCCAUCAUCUCUUCCAUAGUCUUGGUUACGGGGAUGCUUCUGUGCUGUGUGUUGAUGUUAAUACUUUGAGGCAGAGUAUGUAUCAGUGACUCAGUGACAGCAGCUGUUGUUUGUGGCAAAGUAGCAUUGAUAGAGGCAGCAUUUGUUGCAGGGAUCAGAACAUUGUUAGCAGUGCCCGAGGUGCUUGCUGUAGCAACGGGAGUGAAGAACGGUGGAAGCCCAUACGGAAACCCUACUGGCAUAGUAAAGCGGUUGUCCGCAGAAGUGGUAGGGAGCACGCUUGUAGUCACCUGUGCAGCUGUGGUUGUAGGGAUAGCUGUAGCUGAUUGCUCUUGAGCAGCUAGUAGAGCAGUCAUGACGUCAUUAGCUUUAGCCAAUUCCUCCUUUAGAGAGGCUAACUCGGUGCGAAGCUGAGCGUUCUCUUCUUCCAUAGCCCUUUUCUUUCUUCUGUAUUCUCUGGUUCGAUCAAUUCUAUCUGGUUCGUAAACUCUCUGAGCACGAGCCACUUUUCACACUGCGGCAGAGGAACCAGGAGAUAGUGAGCACUUGGAAGCCUUUGUGACCAAUGCAUGAUGCAUAUGAUGCAUGAUAUGCAAAUGCGAAUGCAAAAGACUUAUUUUUUCAUCGAAGGAUUUUAAAACAAAUUAGAAAUCUUGCAAAUAAUCAAAACUACAUAGUAUCUUUAACAGGAAGACUUUGAAAUUUCAACAAGAUGAACACAUGAAGCUCUCAAGCAUAGGAAGUAGUCGGAGGAUCAUCGGACUCGGAAUCUGAAUCACAGUAUCUGUCAAAGAAAUCUCGUCGUCCUCGAGCUCUCUUGGAAUCCCUCAUAAGCAGCUCGUCUUUCUCUUCCAAUUCCCUCCGGGCCUUAGCUAGCUCUUUCUUCAACAUUAGAUUCUCAUGAGUCUUCUGCUCAUCUCUACCAUCCAAAGUCAUGAUUAGAUUUUCGGCUUGAUUGUACCGAGCUUUCCACACUUGCUUCUCACGACUCUCCAUGGCUAGAUGCUCCUGAUACAUAUCCUGAGUCGCAGGGAGCAAAGGUAGAGGCAUAGAUGGAGUGGAUGAAGAUACGUAUCUCAUAGCUGGAUAAGGCAUACCAAUCUCCUCAGCUCGAUCUAUCACCCACUGAGUAUAGGCCUCAUGAGCGACACCGGAUCUCACACCUAGAUGCUUCACACUCUUCCUUCGAACCUUGGACCAAGCAUCCAUGAAAGCUUUCCUUUGUCCGGUAGGAGCAUUCGCAUAGAAGAAGAACUCUGGAGAUGUAGCAAGAUUGAUGGGCUUCGACUUCAUAGGAAAACCAAACUGUCUCAUAGCAAGCUCGGGAUUGUAGUUGAUUCCUCCACGAGUACCAAGAAGAGGUACAUUGAGAAAGUCUCCACAACCCAUGAUAAUCUCCUUCACCUGAGCGGCCGGAGCGAGCCAGACGACCUCGUCAGGAGUGAGGGCCAUAAUCCGCUGCGAGUAGGACCAAUUCUCCGAGUUGUCAUGGAAGGAACUCGGAAGGUGCGAAAUAAACCACCUAUACAAAAGAGAUGUGCAGCAAAGAAUAUACCCACGGCCCUUGAGAGUCCUGUCAUGAAUGGCGUGGUAGGUAUCUGCUAGCAAAGUAGGGACCGGGUUCUUGGAAUGAAAGAUCUCGAUAGCAUUCAUGUCCACGAAGUUGUCGAGGUUCGGGAAGAGAAUGAGCCCGUAGAUAAGCAAAGCAAGAAUAGCCUCGAGUGUGUCCUGACGAGUAGUACCGAGAUUGGCCUGAUCAAGAAGAUACUUCGAAGUGAACCCCCGGAUGUGAGACUUGGUGAUAAGAUGGUUGGAGACGUCGGAAGUCUUGAGGUAGAGAUCCUUAGCAAUAACCAGAGGAGUAAGAGGAGUUCCGGGACCGGUGAAAGGUGUCUUCUCGGCUAUAGGUAAACCCACUAGAUUGGAGUAAGCCUCGAGAGUAGGAACCAACUGGAAGUCCGGGAAAGUGAAGCAACGAAAGCUCGGAUCAUAAAAUUGCACUAGAGUGUGCACUAGCUUCUCGUCCACAUCGGUUCGGAGCAAAGUAAGCAAUCCCCCAUACCGGAGUCGGAACCCUGUUUGACUCUUGACCUUGAGUGCCAACUCUCUCAAACUAACCAAAUCCACUUCCUUGAACUUGUAGCACUUAGUCUUCUUCAUACCUGUGAUUAUUUACAAAAAUUUCCAUUUGUUUAAACCCUUCGAUGAAUGCAUGAAAAAUGUUUAUGCAUGAAUGCAUGUAUGCAUGAUUGUGUUGUUUAGUUAUAAUGUGGGUUGAGAUUCAAAGUAACGGAUGGACAUGGCGUCCGGUGAACUAAGGCUUUGGAUAGUAGUAACCAAGGUUCUAACACAGUUCCCAAACUGCAACCUCUCUCACAUAUAUCAUGGUAGUACAGGACGACACCCGUUCCAUGAUUAUUUGUGAGAAGGUCUAGCUUGAGUGUAGUAUCGCGUGACGACUAAAGUUUGAGACAACACUCAAUUUAGCCACCGCACUACGUCCUAAAAAGGCUAGGAUGGGUUUGGUAACUACGGUUCAUAGCUUCGUCGAACAAUUGAAAGUGAAGUGCCUAAGCAUGACAACACACGCCGACAAUAUCACCUUCAAAAUGCCUCAGCUAUGUGAGAUUGAUCGCAUAAUCCAAUACACGAGGCAACCCCCGGAUCGAAUUGUCGAUUAUAUCUCUACCUAAACAUAAGUUCACUCAGCCCGGGUAUAGGACUUUUGAUAUCCUCACCCCACACGUCAAAUGAAAGUAAACAAGUAUUCACAUAUAUAAGCAAUAAAACAAAGCGUAAAUAUAAACUAAGGAAAACUAGGCGUGACCCGCUAAAAGAAAUCCCCAGUGAAGUCGCCAUUUCUGUUAUCAUGGUUUUUGGGUGCCAAGCCAUUAAUUGGACUUGAACCUUUCGACCGUUGAUAUCUCUCUUUUUUCUUGGGAAGGGAAAAAUUGAGAAAAAAACCCUUAGAUUCUAAGUUCGGGGGUCGGUUUUACUACGGGAAGGUGUUAGGCACCCGGAGUAACUAUAGUCCUCUAUAGAGUCGUUUUCCUAAGUCUAUAUUCACGCUUAUUUUUACUUACUUUUGAAAAUGGGAGGUUUAUUUAGUUAAGAAUGGGGGUGAGAAGAAGUAGAAUUUUGAUUUUAUUUCGGCUUGGAUGAGUUUUGACUCAUUGCCUACGUACCCUUUUAAGGGAUCAAAACCGUUCGUAGUUCUUGCUAAAAAACUUGUUUUUGUUCUAAUUGUUUGAUUUUAAGUUUUGAAAAUGGUUUUGAAGAAGGAGAUUGGGAGGCUUCAUGAGCAUUAGAUUUAGCAAAAAAGUGAGGUUUGAUUAGUGAUUAGAAAGAAAGUCUAAAUGGUUAAGAUGAAUUGAAUUUUCCUUAAGAAAAAGAAAAGAAAAAAAAUGAAGUGUUGACUUCAUAUUUAUUAUGAAAUUUUUUGAAGUGAAGUUCAAUUGUUUUUUUGGAAAAAGAUGGAUUUUCUCUAAGUGUUUAAAACCUAAACGCUUAUUUAACCAUACAAUCCUAUGCAUACAUCUAAGGUGAGUGUGUGCGUGUCGGUGCGCCAUAGUGUCCAUAGUCCAUAUUACAACAUUUCCUAAAUACAUUCUAUGGCCUCUUUGCCAAGCUACAAACCAAUGAUAACAAAUUACAUCACUAAAUGAAUCAAAACUUGCAAAAAAAAAUAAAUGCUAGACUAAAGAGGGUGGAGAGUGGAGAGGGUGGUGGAAUGCUUAUGAAAUGUAUGGCACAUGAGAUGAAAUGGUUAGUAAUCAUAAAGCACAAAAUAGUAGGAAAUAAUCAAAAGGAAAUGUAUAAGAAUGGCAAAGGAAAGGUAAUAAAGUGGCAAUAAACCUAAAACUUUUGAUGUGAUACCUAAAGGUGCUUGUAACCCAUAAUCAUCACAUCAUGGCAAUUUUGAAAGAAAUUUUGUUUCAAGCCAUGACAUGAAAUUAGUGGAAGUACAUGCAAGCAAAGUAUCACACCAAACAUAAAGAAAUUUACCACUUUAUUCCUAAAAAUAAACGCUUAUUACUUGUAAAACAAGAAAUCCAUAAAAUCACAUCCAAACACAGCAAAAAUAAACACAAUUCCAGAGGCAUAUUCAUCACCAUAUUAGGCAUCAUUUAUCCAUGUCAUACUAUCAAAAUGUCAAGAACAAAACAUAGCAAAAUGCAUACAAAAAACAUAAAAACACAUGGAAUUAGUUCACACCAUUUUAACAUCUUUUUUACAUGCAAAGAUACCCUAAAAAUACCAAGAAUAUAUCAAGAAACCACUAGGAUUUUUUUAGAAAUUUUGUAAACAAAAAUGAGCAGGCCACAGGUGCAGAUAGCAAAGAAAAUGGUGUAAAUAGCAUACAAAAGCAAGCAAAAAAAACGUAAAACCUUAAGCCCAAACCAAAACCCAAUACAGACUGGGCCUGGAUCAUCCAAAGGCCUUAGAGGCGUUGGAUUGAUCCAAACCUAGAUCUGACGGUUCAAAACACGCAGCGCAUGGUAACACAGAUCAAACACGUGGGAGCAAACGCAUCACAGCCAUUCAAAAGAGAAACCCUAGAUCCUACGGUCCAAAAAGGAAACCAAAGUGAACCGGACCGGUCCAGGUGUCUAUAUAAACGUAAGGACACCGGUCCAGCUCACUUUGCUCACCUCUUUCUCUCUCUAAGCUCUUCUCUCCUCUCAGUCCUCUCUCUUCUCUCCAGAAAACCACCACCGGAGGUGAUGAAGCUACGGCGGAGACCUUGAAGGUCCGCCGGAAACUUCAUCUUCUCCGGCGAGACUUAUGAACUUCCGGUGACCUAAAUUUCCAGAUUUCAAAGAUUCUUACUCCUUUUGAUUCGUCCUUUAACCCUAAACACGAAUCCAGCAACUAUUUUUUCAAAUACGGUUCGAAACGACGUAGAUCUUGAAGGAACUUUGUACGGUUUUGAAAUGAUUUUUGAUUUUUGAACAAAAACGUUUAGAUUCUUACAUCGUUUCGUUGUUUGAUUGAUUUUCUGGUAUGCGUUCUUGCUUUCAAAACUUAGAUCCUUAUGGAUCUAGGUUUUGUGUUUACGGUUACGGCUUUGGCUUUGAAUUCUGGAAAUCUUUGGAUUCGGUUUGUUUUUUACUUCACUGAUUCAUGCUUUUUUUUUAAAGAAAAUGAUGUUGAAGUUAUGCUUUUACCUGUGAUUUCAAUUGGAGGUGCUGAUGAAGAUUUCUUCGGAAAACUUCAGAUGCGUUUCUAUUGAUUCUUGCUGCUUUGAACCGAAAAUAAAUCGGUGUUCUUCUUUCUCACUGAUUCUUCGUGAUUUUGGCUGGAAACUUCAUCUUCUUUCUCUGCUUCUUUCUCACUGAUUCUUCUUUGUGAUCGGUGCUGGAGUUUGCUGCUGCUGCAGCGAGCUCGUGCCUUGAAUUGCAAAGAAGAUGAUUCGAUGAUGAUGAUUCCUUAGGAAUCUCUGAGAAUCAAUGGAAAAUCCAAUGAAUUUUGAUGAUUUUUUGGUCUUCUGGAAAUCUAGGGUUUGGAUUUUGUUCUUGCUUGUUCUUGGAGAAUUUCUGUUUUUGAUCUGUAACUGAAUGGAGAGAGAAAAGAAAUCUGUUUGUGAUGAAUUUCUGACUUUUUGACUGUGCAUUGAAUGCGCCUUUUAUAGGCUGCCAUGUGUGCAUUGGGACCAAUAGGAAAUCGACAUGUGGCAUUGGACUUAAAAUGGACUUUGGACCUUUCUGCAAUUUUGUAAAAUAUGGGACUGGACUGCAAUUUUAAAAACAGAACUAAAAAAAAUAAAAAAAUAAAAAUUGGACAGUUUGGACUUAAAUGCAAUUUUAAAAAGUUGAAGGAUUAAAAUGCAAAGUAAAAAUAAAAAAUGAAUUAAAAUAUGUAAUUUGACUAAACGUAAAGCGAAAUAGAAAUAAAAAUAAAAUCGACAAAACGGACUAAAACGAACCAAUGGCCUAAAUGAGGUACUUCAAAGUAACCUCCCUAUGUCAAAAUUUUGUGUGAAAUGACCAAAAUGCCCCUAGGGCUAAAACGACCUAAACAGAUUCAAAUUGAUCUGACACUGACUCAGACGCAAAUUUAAAAUGAACUUAAUCAAGAUUUACUAAUGAAAAUGCAAAAACAAUCUGAAAAGACUCAGAGACAGUCACAAGGAUGAAAAUGGGUCCCACUGCAGGAAAUGACCAAAAUACCCUUCUGUAUGACUUUUUGCAAAUUUUGAAAUAAACUGUAGAAAAAGCAAUGCAAUGAUUCAGAGACACUUCUGAAUGACUUACAAGACAAGUAAAGACACUUCAAAAGGUUUUAUGCAAGAAAAACAUAAGUAAAAUUGUGAUUGGAAAUACUGCGAGGCAGAGACAAUUUGAACUUUGCAGUUGAAAUCUGAUAAUUGACAAAGUUUGAAAUGAAAUUGGGCCCAGUAUUUUUAGGUCCAAAAACAGGGUAUAACAGGGAGGAAUUAUUGAGAUGCUGAAAGAAGCUCAGAUCUUCACAGAUGAACAGUUGGGAACUGUUAGAGGGAAGAUUAUCAAUGGUGAGACUCUAAGGGCUAUGCAUCUGAUUAAAGCAAAAGAUGUGAAGAAGAGUCCUACUGACUUGAAACCUUCUGAUGCCAAAUCAGAUCUUAUCCCAGACUUUCCUCCCAUCUGUAAACAAGAUCCCUUGGAGGUUCAAAGGGCAUAUAUCAUGGAUCACUACAAAUCCUUUAACCAGAAAAUCAGCUUGAAGGAUGUUCCUGACCAAAUGUAUGGUGGUGAGCUGCCUGUGGCCAAAAGUAGAAAAUCUAAGAAGAAGCAGAUCACCAAGGAAGAAUACCUUGCUGAAAAUGCUACUGAGGUGGGUGCUCAGAAGCAUAAGAAAGCUAAGAAGGUAAAAUCUGCUAUGUCCACCAUUCUUGAGGAAGUGGAGGAUUUGGAAGAUGUCCCUCUUAUCAGAAAAAGGACAAGGAGUACUCAAGAAACAGCAGAACAGCCUGCUUCUGAACAAGCUGGUUCAGAACAAGCUGCUUCUGAAAAGCCUCCAAGUCCCAAAAAUAAAAGAGAAGCUGCUCUUCAGACCAUCAAAAGGAAAAGGUCUAAUUUAACAAGAAAUCUGAAGACAGGUGAAGGAAGAAGGGCACAAAUGUUGGAAGAACUGGAAGAGAACUGGGAUGAAGACUCAAGCCCUAAGAAAGCAAAAAGGACUGCAACUUCUGAGCCCAUAGUCAUGCCCAGUUUCGAAAUGACUGAAGAAAUGGAGCAGUAUACUAGGGAGGUUGCUGCAUCCAAGAUAGCAGAAAAGAAAAGGAUGAAGAUUUUGUAUGAAAAAGAAAGGGAUGAACGUCUCAAGGCUGCAGGGUAUGUGCCUACUCCUGACAUUGCUGCUUUAGCAUCGGAGUUAGAAACUGUUAAGUAUGGAGCAACUCUGCUUUCUCAAGCCUUGAAGAAUAAGCAAGCUUCAGGAGCAACUUCAUCAGAACCAGCUUCAGAAGCUCCAGAAGCAGUUCAUCCAGAAGCUCAGUCUUCAGGUAAUCCAUCUAACGCUCCAACUAAUACUCAGAUUCCAUCUCUACCCUCUUCACCCUCUUCAUCAUCAACAGAAUCAGAUGACCAACCUCUUAGCCAACACAUAGACAAGCUUCUAAAAACCAAACCUACCAAACUAACAGAUUUAGGAACACUUGACUGGGAGCAAACUCAAAUAGAAUUUUCUAAGAAUAGAAUUAAACUUUGUGAGAAAUUCAAUUUGCCUCCUACUCAUCCACUCUAUCCAGAUAAUCCUGAACCUGUUAGUGUACAACAACCUCAACCCAACCCAGAACCUACAACAAACUCACCACAUAACUCAACCACACAAAAAGCCUCUGAAGUAGCUUCAGAUGCAACUACUUCAGAAACUCCCCAACACCAAGAAUACUCAACCCUUCACAACUUAGAAAAACAUCUAGGUGGUGAAAUGCAACCAACACCCACUAAGGCCUCUAAGACAGUUCCUGAAAAGACUGUCUUGGAAACCCAAACAGAAACCCAAACCAUCCCUGAGCAAACUGUUCAGGAGCAAACUGCCUCUGAACAAGUUGCUCCUGACCAAACAACUUCUGACCAACAUAUACCUUCUGACCAAACAACAGAACAACAACAACAACCAGAUUCACCCACUAUAAUAGACUUAACCUCUGACCAACCUUCCAUAUCAAAUACAACUCAAACCGAACCUUCACCCAUCCCUGACCAUAUCCUAGAGUCUGAGUAUAUAGAGGAACAACUGAUCAGACUCAGUGAUGAGAUUCAGGCACUGAUUCUUCGCAGAACAGUUCCUGUACCUCCUAUUCACUAUUAUGAUCAGUGGAUGGAUCUACAGAAAAGCUUUGAUGAGCUGCUGGAUCAACUUAGAACUAAAUGUGUGUCAUCUCACUCUGCUAUGCUGAAGAAGCUUUUGGAUGAUAUGCAUGAAGCAGCUAAGGAGAAAGAGCUGAAUUUUGUGCCUCUGCUGGACAUCACUCCUUUCUAUCCAGAAGAAGAGUACAUCACUAGGGCUGCUAGAAUUCAGGCUGGAUAUAAAAGAAGAAUGAGAGAAAAGGAUGAGCUACUUCAGAAGAAGGAUGAUCAGAUCAAGUAUCUCUUAGAACAGUUGUAUAAGCAAGCCCAACCUUAGUUGCACACCCAACUCUAGCUUGUUUUUUACUUUUGUUCUUAGUAGCUGUGUCUUUGUAUCUUAAUCUUUCUUUCUAUAUAUAUUAUCAUUGUUUCUGAAUCUUGUGCUUUUUCACCUUCAAUAUGUUUUACAAGCUUUAAUUCUGAUGAUAUUUACUGUUUUCAAUGCUGCUUGCUCUGAAAUACUAUCUUUAAAAGUUAUAUGUUUAUAUCUUGGAACAAAAUGUGUUUCACAAUGAACCUUAUUAAGUUUUGAUGAUAACAAGGUAUUAAAAAUUGUCAAUUGGUUAUUACUAAUAAUUGUUCAAGUGUACAGGACCAAAGGCUACUCAAGUUAUUUCAAUAGGUCUUGGAAGAACAAUGGAAAGAAAAAGAAAUUCUGAGCAUCUGAAGAAAACUGCUCCUGAAGCUAAACUGCUCCUGAAGAGAUGACGUCAUCAGAAGCAGAAAGCUGCUCCUGAAGCUAAACUGCUCCUGAAGAGAUGACGUCAUCAGAAGCAGAAAGUCAUCAGAAGCAGAAAGUCAUCAGAAGCAAAAGUUUUCAUCAGAAGCAAUAUUUUCACCAGAAGCUACAUUUGAUCCUUUAAUCAAACUGAAGAUUCAAAGUUGCUGAUUCUCAAUUCAGUCUUAUCAAAGAAGAACGAAGAAUUGAAAGGGAGGUAUCAACGGAUAUAUGGAUAGCACUGAGCACUUGUCUCUCAUUAAUAGAGUUGACAAAGUACAAGUGUACAACCACUACCUCCACUACUCUGUUUUCUGUCUACGCUACAAGACAAAACAACAGCCAUGCCUGCAGAAUUUGUACAACUCAAGAUGGGAAUGAAUUUGAAGUUUAUCCUUCAAAGGACUACACCCAAAUCAGGCAAAAGAUCACUGGUGGAUAAUCAAAGGAUUUCAAACGACUCUUUAGACGUGCUGAUUAUCUCAACGUCUCUUUCACGCCUCUAUAUAAAGGAGUGAAGACUUGAAGAUUCAAGAUAGAGAUACAUAAGUUCAAAAGCGCCAAAACUCUGUCAAUUUGAUUCUACAAAGCACACUGAAUUUCUGCACUGAUUUGAUACAUCUUAGAAAUUCAAAGUCUAGAGUCUUUUCUGUAUUGUAUUGUGAACACCACUGAUUGUAUAUCAAGUGUUCAAUUCAAACUCAAUUCUCUGUAUUUUUGUUUGAUUAGAAGUCUCUUGCCUGCGUGCUUGAGCAUUAGAAGUCUCUUGCUUAGUGCUUGAGCAUUGGAAGACUCUUGCGUGUGUGCUUGAGCAUUGUUUUGUGAAGUCUCAUACUUUGAAAGUAUUGAGCAGUUGUAAUCUUGUGAUUAUAGUGAAAUCUCCUUGGAAGUGCAAGGGGGACUGGACUACUUCCGUGUUGUGGAAGGAACCAGGAUAACUGCCUGUGUCUUUGUCUUUCUUUUCUCUGCUCUGUUCUUUUCCGCUGCAAUCUGACUCUGAUCAUUUCAUCAGAAGCAAUCAAACUGCUUCUGAAGUUUUAUCAGAAGAAGAAUCCUUUUUAUUAAGAGAAAAAGAAAACACAAUUCAACCCCCCCCUUCUUGUGUUUUUCACCUUCAGAUUUUGGAGGAUUUUUGGGGUUUAUAUGAAUUUUUUAAAUUCAAUCUAUGUUGUUAUAAUAUUCUUAAAAUUAAAGAUAUAAUAAACAUAAGCAUUAAUUUAUCAUUAUCUAAAAAAUUACUCUUUCUCAUUCAAUAGAAACUUUUUCAUAAAAUGUGAAAGAUUUCUGCAUUUCUCUAUAUAUUUCUUACCUCCAAAACUCUCACCUUCAAACUCUCAAACAAACCCUUAGUAUAUUGUUACAAAAUAUAAAAUAUACGGUAUAUAGUAAUAUGUGCUAAACACUUGAUGAUUUUUUUCUUUUUUGACUCAGUAAGAUCGUACAAAGUGUAAUCUCAUAACCCUUCAUGGGAAAUACAACAAUGUCAAGCUACACUUUUUAAGCACAACCCUAAAGGGUAAAUAACAAAAUAAACAAAAACUCAGCCACCACGUGUACAAUCUAGCGAACACAACUCGGAGUGCGAAACCAAAUUGCAAAAGAAAGUGGUUUUUGAGCGUUCCUCUCCGUAACAAUGGAAUGAGUGUUUCUUCGUGUCAAAAUUGAUAAUUGAAAUUGUCAGCCAGCACAAAAGCAAUUACACUUACCCACCACUCACUGAUGAAACCAACAACAAAUUUACGGCUAUGAAUCAACCUCAAAAAGCACUACAAGAAAGAAAAAAAAAGCUCUUUGCAACAGUUAAAUUGAGAUUCGCGACUAUUCAAACCGUCGCAAUUUUCCAUUUGCGACACUUUCCCAAUUGUUGAGGAAAAGGGGUCGCAAGAGCAUUUUGAUACAGCUCAAAAACCCGUCGUUACAACUGCCGCAGAGCGUAUUGCAAAGCACUCGUUUUAAUUUUGAAAAAGGGUGUUGCGAUCGUUUAGAACCGUCACAAUUCAUGAAAAAUAAACUUACAAAAAUAUUGCAGCUGUUUUGAACCGUCGUUAUUUGGUGAAUUUAAUUUGAAAAAAAAAACAGAUAUUUUAGAAUUAAUAAUAGAACAUCCGAGUUAUCAUAUUUUAAUGACAACUAAAUUAAUUCAUAGUAAAAAAAUAUGAGCUAAUCCAUAAACUAAAAUAUGAAUUACAUUCAAAUAAAAUGAUUCAAUAAAACAUAAACAAGUGAUAAUACAAUAAGGUUUCUUGAGCUAACAUAAAAAUUUAAUCAAUUAUGUAGAUGCUCCGUGGCAAGAAAAUUGUUUUGAUAAACUCAAUGUGAAUAGACUCCAAAAUUGUUAAAUAGUAGUUAUUAUUAAUAAGGUUUCAAUUUUCUAGAAAUUAAAACAAAAAUAUUGAAAGAAAAAUCAAGAAACAAGAAGGAUAAAGAAGAAAAUACUUAAGAUUUUCAUUUUGUUUGGAUUAUCUCUUUUUCCUUAUGAAAGAUGAAGUGACGAAGCAGAUCUGACCUGAGACUAGGGUUUAACGAAAUUGGGAACGGAUUUGAGAAAAGGAGAAAGGGGCAACACACAAUGAAGGAGGUUAGGUUCGAUCUAAGGGUUACAUCUUUUUCUUCGGUUGGAGGUUUGAAUUGGACAUGAGAGAAGAAAGAAGGGACGAUCGAUUCAAGGUUUAGAACAAAUGUGAGAGAAGAGAGAAGGCUUUUUGGGAUGGCCGAUUGGGGGUUUCUCUUUUGGGAUUUUUUCGAUGCUGGACGGAGGUUUUUUUUUUCUUUCAUAGAUCUAUAUGCUAAAAGUUUUUUAGCGGUGAGAUUUUUGGAUUUUGAAAAUUCAAGAGAGAAAAAAGGUUAGCGAGCUUUAUGCUAAAAGACCACCUUUAAUUUCACUCUAAAAUUUGCGACGGUUGGGAUUACCAGUCGCAAGACCCGCCUCAAAUAUACAAUUGUGACCCUUAUUAUUGAACUGUUGCAGUUCAUGUGUCGCAAAAUAACAAAUUUCUUGUAGGGAAGAUUGCAAAGUCGUCGCCCUUUUGAGCAUUACAGAACCAAAUCAACAAAUUUGGUCCUCUAUGAAUAGAUCAACGACGAAGCUAGAAAGUGCAAGAAGGAAUUGUUGCUUUUUAAGGUGGAUUUCGAGAAAGCCCAUGAUUAUAUUGAUUAGGGUUAUUUAGAUGAGGUGAUGAGAAGAUGAUGUUUUCGACGCUUUGGCGAAAGUGGAUUAGAGAAUGUAUUGGUACAACAACAACUUCGGUCUUGGUCAAUGGGUGUCCUACGAAUGAGUUUCUUAUGGAGAAGGGCUUGAGGCAAGGCAAUCCUCCCUAUCUCUCUCCUUUCUUGUUCCUCUUGGCAGCAGAGGGGUUCCAUGUUUUGAUGGAGUCUUUGACUGAGAAUGAUCCUUUUGUUGUUUCUCACUUUCAAUUUGUGGGUGAUACGCUGAUUUGUCUGGUUUGAAGGUGAGCUUUCAUAAGAGCCAAUUGGUUGGGGUAAAUGUGUUUGAUUCUUGAUUAACAGAGGCAGCUAUGGUUUUGAAUUUCCAAGUUGGUAGGUUAUCCUUUGUGUAUUUUGGGAUGCCAAUAGGUGGUGACGCGAUACAUUUGUCUUUUUGGCAACCGUUGAUUCUAAGAAUUAAUUCUAGAAGGUCGGGUUGAAAACCUAAGAACUUAUCUUUGGGUAGUCGUCUGGUUCUUUUAAAGUCUGUCAUGUCAUCUCUGCAUGUUUAUGUUCUUUCUUCCUUCAAGGCUCCCUCAGAUAUUGUCUCCUCUAUUGAAUCUAUUUUAAUUUUUUUUUUGGGGUGGGGGGUGCGGACCAUAGGAAAAUCUUUUGGGUUGAUUGGAACUAUGUUUGUUUGAGAAAAGAGGUUGGAGGUUUGGGGGUCAGCAGAAUUAGGGAGUUUUAACAUUGCUUGGUUGGGGGAAAUAGUGUUGGAAGUUGCUGAUGGAUAAAGAGAGUCUUUGGUUUAGGGUGUUGUUGGUGAGGUAUCGUGUUGAGGGAGGUAUUUUGAAGGAAGGGACGGUUCUAUCUGGUGGCGCGAGCUUGAUGUUGUGCAUAAUGGCUUAGUGAUCAUGUUAGCCGAAAUGUGGGGAAUGGCGGAGGUUCUAAGGUGCGGCAAUCUAUUGUGCACUUGAUUUGGUUUGUUAGUAUGUGAGAAAUUUGGAAAGAAAGAAAUAACAUGAUCUUUAAUGGUAAAGAAUGCUCAAUGUUGCAGCUUGUGGAAAGAUUAAGUCGAUUUCCUUUUUGUGGUUGAAGGCGGAGUUUAGUUCUUUCCUUUUCAAUUAUCAUAUUCGGUGGAUUAGUCCUCUCACAAAUGUUGGGCAUUAACUAGUUGUUAUUUCUUCUCUUAAUCUCUUGUUUUUUUAUCUUCUAACUUUUGUUGCGACUCUUUUGUUCUCUUUUGACACACCUCAUACUAGAAAGGACAUUUUUAGUUAGUAAUAUAUUUUAUUUUGGCUUCUUAAAAAAAAAAAAAAAAACACUCCUCCAUUGAGAUAAAGAGUUGUCUCUUCUACUUAAUACGAAAGUUCUAAUAUUAUUUAGUCAUCAUAUAUAUCAUCCUUAACAUGUGUGUAAGGUCACUUUCUUGAAAAGUAUGAGUAACUGAUAAGACAGAACACCAAUGACAACAAUUUUUUAGAGAGAUUGUCAUAAUAUUCUAACCAAUUUAUUGAAAAUUUUAUUAAAAAAAAUAUGAAGGUUAAACAUGAGUUGACUAAAAAGUAAGGAUUAAUUCUUUCAAAAAAAAAAAAAUUAUGGAUUAAUUUCAUGGAUGAAAUUUUUUGGAGGGACCAAAAGCCUAAGGGAUAUUUUAGGAAGACUAAAAUCAAUUGUUAGUAUAUUUAGAAGGACCACCAUUUACUUAUUUUUUUUUUUUUUUGGGUAGAAGACCACCAUUUACUUAUUUAAACCUUUUUUCAAUUUAUAUGUGAUAUAUGAAUUCAAUUUAUAUAUUUUGUUUAACUAAACUUCAUUAUUAUUGUAUCUUUUUAUUUUCUAAUUUUUGAUGGAAACUUAAACCUUUUUUUGUUUUUGGUGGUAUCCAAAAUUUGCCUUGAACCUUACAUAUAUUAUGCAUUAUCUAUACCAACUGAACUAAGUUUACGGAGAUAAACUUUUUUAUUUAAACUCAUACUAAUAAAUAUGAUAUAUGAGUUCAAUAUAAAGAACAACAUACUUUAUUUUAGUCUGUAAGAAAAAAUGGUUUAUAAAUUGAACCGAAAGAUGCACAGUAAAAGAAAAUAUAUAAGAAGAGGCAUUGGCAAAUGUGGGCUGUUUUUUCUUGCUUAGCGGGUAGUUUUUUCUAUUAUGAAAAAUAAUAAAAUAAAAGUAAAGAUUAAAAAUGGUAAAAUGCAUAAAAAGUUAUAAGUUAUACGCUCAAAGUUAGUCUUUUUAGCUUCUAAAAAAAGACUAUAAGCUAACGAAAAAAGUUAGUUAUCAAACAUUUAAUUUUGUCAAACAAACUUAUAACCUAGUACAACAAACUAUAAUCUAGCUUAUUUUAUCAUACAGGCUUUAUUAUCCUAUUAAAAUUUUCAUUCAUAGAUAGAAGAACAUCAAUAUGAUUUAUUUAUCGAAUUGAUGUAUUCUAGAUAUUUUACUAAUAAAACUAUAUCUAUUUAUAAAUCGAUUUUGUAAAAAUAAUCAGUUAUAUAUCCGCAAAUAAAUUUAUAAUAAAAUAAGUCAUGAUUAUUAAUACAUUUUUUUGAAGCAAUGAUUAUUAAUACAUAUCCAUACAAAUAUUUUAUAAGUGGGUAUAAUUUGGUUGGUUAAAAUAUAUAUUUUCUUUGAAAUAACAAGAUAUUAUAUUAAUGGAUUAGAUCAUGAAAAUAUACAUCAUUAGUUUCAUACUACAUCCAUCCCUAAUUAUAAUGUCCUUUUAAAAAAAUAACGGGAAUUAAGAUAGUGGAUAUUUGUAUUAAAUAUGUUUGUAAUUACUAUUGUUUUUACAAUUUUAUCCUUUAAGAAAGAGGGUUGACUUAUGUUUUCAACAUUCUAUUUAUUGUUGAUUAAAGAAAAAGAUGUACAAUAAAUAGGGGCAUAUAUGUAAAAAAAUAAUUAAUGUAGUCGGAAAUAAAAAAUGAAUUUUAUAAAAAAGAACAAAAAAAAAAUCUCAAAAGCGUCUUAUAAUUAGGGACGGAUUUAGAAUGGGAAAUUUGAGCUAAAUUAUGGGCUAUCUUUAUACAAAUUCUAGGGAUAGAUUGCACUGCCAUUUGUCAAAAUGCCAUUGGAGGGAUUGGACUUCCUGGUGGGACCUUUUUCAACUAUGAUGAGUUUUGACUUUUGACUAUAAAUGCUUGAUCGAUAUCCAUAUAGUCUCCCGUGAUCACCCAUUUUCCUGUUUCUUAAGAAAUCAUUAUCCAUGUCGUCUUCAACCUCCAAAACCAAAUGGAUCUACGAAGUGUUCAUAAAUUUUAGGGGGGAAGAUACUCGUAGCAAUUUCGUUUCUCAUCUUUAUGCAACCCUUUCAAAUGCUGGAAUUAACACUUUUCUUGACGAUGAGAAUCUUGAAAAGGGAAAGGAGCUGGGACCAGAAUUAUUGCGAGCAAUACAAGGUUCUCAAAUAAUCAUUGUUGUUUUCUCCAAAAAUUAUGUUCAAUCUAGUUGGUGUCUUGAUGAACUCGAACAAAUCAUGGAGUGCCACAAAAGUACGGGUCAAGUUGUUAUGCCCGUAUUUUAUGGUGUUACUCCUUCAUUUAUACGUGAAUAUGCUAGCCAAACUUUUGGGGAAGCUAUCGUUAGCAAAACAAAUCAUUUCGUCCUCCAUAAUUCGGAUCCGAGGAAAAAUCCACGAAAUAAGGCACAAGGCGAUGAUCAUUAUAGGUAUUUUUUUUACUAAGAUAUUUUUUACUAUGAUAAUUAUAGGUAAAUGUCUAUUUUUGUUAGAGGUAUGGUAAAUGUCAUCGUGAGUUUAACGGUAUGAACUCUGAACAAUGUAUAAUAUAUGUAAGGUCUGAGGUUCAGACUAUGGCCACCACAAAAAAAAAAAAAACGGUAUGGUAAAAAAAAAAUUUGUCAAGUACUCGUAGCUGGAGCUCACAUAUUUUAAAUGUGGAGAUGUAUGAUAAAUAAAUGUUUAAUAAUAAAAAUAUGUGUUAUUUCCGUAGUAGCACAAUGGAUAUUUCAAAUCUAAAAAAAAUAUGUGUUAUUAGAUUUCUUACUUACAGGUAAAUGCCUCUUUUUUUAGGGGUGUGGUAAAUGUCUAAACGUAAAAAUACGUGUUAUUAGGUUUCUUACAAAUUUACUAAAUUUUAUUUUUGAUUAUAAAAUAUUUCUGGUAAUAGAAAAAGUUUCCAAAGAAAAGGGUGUAAAAUUAAAGUUUCUCGGAGAUGGAAAUAAUAUCUGUAUAUUUUCAUAAAAGUUAUUUUUAAGAAUAAAUAUAGUAAACUUGAAUGUCUAUUACCAAUUUGUAAAUUAUUAUUUGACAAAUAAUCCGUCCAUUUUAAAAUGGAUGUCUCUUAAGAUUUUUACACACAUAUUAAAAAAUAUAAAUUAUAAUGAUUAAAAGGAAGAUAAUAUCUAUUUUUAUCAAAUUAUCCUUAUCAACUAUUGAUUUCAUUUUUAUUAUCAUAAAUGCAAAGUAAAAGUAAUGUUUUGGGAGUAGUGUGUAUAAGGGUACGAUUGAAAAUAUGUAAUUAAUAUUGCAUUGGAAAUCAAAAGUGACAUUCAUUUUAAAACAAUUUUUUUUACUAAAAUGACACUCAUUUUAAAACGGAGAGAGUAGUAAAUUAAUAUGUGUUCUAAAAUGUCUGAUCAAUUUUCAAUAAAUCAAUAAUUAUUUUAUUCACCUAUACUCUACUCCCUUUAGACUCAUAAAUAAUUGUUUUUUUUUUUUUUUACCAAAAAAUAAAAAAUAAUAAUUGUUUUUAAGUUCAUUGAAAUAAACCUAAAAAAAAUCUUUUCUUAUAUAUGAGACUAGAUUGAGUAAUUAACGGUACUUCUUUCACUUUCGAUUUCAUGUAUUUCACAUCCCAUUUAUUAUAAAUAUGAAUACACCAGCGCAAAAUAAAUUUGUUAAUCUAGAUAAAUUAGUCAACUAAAUCUUUUAUUUCUAGAUAAAUUUGUCUUUUGAAAAAUAUUUAUUGUUGCUGCAAUUAUGUAAAGCCGUGACAGGCUGAAAAUUUCAGAAAAGAAAGAUUCACUUGAGCAAGCACUCGGGGAUGCUUCGAUCUUGGCUGGUUGGGAUAUGGAUAAUUACAGGUAAAUGUUUAUAGUAUUAUGUUUUGUUUAGUAUACUUGUAGCAAUGAUAAGAAUUCCGCUCUUCUUCCAACAAAAAUCACUUGUUCCCAAUUGAAAUAUCCACUAAUAAACUCACGCACCUUAUGCCUACAAUGUGAGUUAACUCACGCACCUUUGAACAGUGGCAACGAGACUUAACUCAAGCACCUUUGGUUGGUGGCGUGAGUUAGAUCACGCAAUUUUGGUCGAUGGUCUAUGCACAAAGAACACAUUUUUUUGGACGUGGUCACUUAUUCAAACUUGGUUUUACUCGAUUUUUACAAGUUUUUACACGUUUUUUUAUUGUAUUUAGUGUAGUUAAAACCUAUCUAAGACAUUCCCCCUAUAAAUACCCUUCCAACCUUCACCAUUUCUCACACCAUCAUCUCACACUCUCUCCUCCUCUUCCUUCUACAACAACAAUGUUUUUCCAUUCUUUGCCUUUCUUAGAAAGAUUCAUCUUUGAAAAUUUCAGGGAUUGUAUGAACGGUCAAUGAAAAUGGCAACACACUGUGUCGCGUCAUUUUUGGAGAUCAAGGCUAUUUGAUUAGCUUUUGACUCACUAAUUAUUUCACGACUGAACAUUUAAUUUUUAAGGAAAAGGGGAAAAAAGUUCAAAACACCCCAUAUUGAAAAGAUUUAGGGUUCGGGGGUUAGUUACAUAAAGGGAAGGUAUUAGCACCCUUUACGUCCGUAGUACUCUACGGGAACCUCUUGGUUUUAUUUAAUUUAAUGUGCUAUAACUUGCUUGCUUUUGAAAAAGAAGUUAAUGUGAUGAUUAAAAGAAAAAGAAAGUGAGACCUAAUUUAUCUACAUUUUUUAUUGUUUGGAAGGACGAGUGUCCUCUGCCUACGUACCCGUGAAGGAUCAAAACCUCGUAGUUCGGGGUAGAAAAUGACGCUUGAUUGGUUUUGUGUUUUUUUAUUAGUUUUUGAAAAAGGUUUUAAAGAUAAAAGCCAAGUGGCAAAUAAGAAUUUGUUUGUGUUUUUUAAUUUAAAUGAAAAUAAACUCAAGGUAGAAUUAAAUUGAUUGAUGUUUGAUUAAGAAAAGAAAAUAAAGAUGCGGUCACUUGAUUUGGAUCAAGGUUUAUUAUAAAAAAUAUUUUUUGUGAUUUUUUUUUUGGUUAUUUGCAUGUUUUGUGAUUUUUUUGAAAAUAUUUAAACUAACGGAGCAUAAAGAAUAAAAGCGUGGCUACCCUAAGUUAGAAAUAUAAAAUCUAUGACUAUUACAUAAAAACCUAUUUACAUUCUAAGGUCUGCAAUAAAAUUAAAAUGCUAAGAAAAAUAAAUAAAUACGAAAAAGAAUAAAAAAAGGUCCAAACACAUGGUGGGGUGCAGUGGUAAACAGGGGUGUGCAGAAAGCAGAAAAAAAAAGGAUUGGGCUCAAGGAAAAUGAACCGGGUUGCGGGUCAUGGGUCAUGGGUCGUGGGUUGACCCGUUUGGGGGGUAUAUAAGGGCUGUUGGGCCCUUUUUCUUUCAUUUUUCUUUUUCCUUUCUCUCUCUUCCUCACCGGUUCUCUCUCUUCUUCUCUGUUCUCUCUCUAACUCUCUUCUUCUCCGGCGGAGUGGGGUGGGGGUUCCGGCGGGAUUCCGGCGCGGUGGCCGGCGAGCCAUCGCGGCUGCGCCGCCGCGCCGGAGCUAAAAAAACUCCCCCUUUUUUAUUUUUUCGCUCUUUCUCUUCCUCUUUUCCCCCCUUACGUGAUACUAAACCCAAAAAUCCCAAAACCUUUACUCAAACGUCUAGAUCUAAAAAGAAAGAAAUUUAUACCUUUUUGUUUUUUUGUUGAUCCGGUUUCGUGAUGUGAUUGUCGCUGUUGUGACGGUUUGUGCGCCUCUGUGUGUGCGUGUAUGUGCUGUGUUGUGUUGCCCGCGGCCGUAUUCCCGUUUCUGUGCACGUGCGUGUGUUGUGGCGUGGACUGGUGCGUGUGUGUUGUGCGCGGACUGGUACGGUUUGGACUAGUGCGUGGCGUGAGUUGUUGGCUUGUGCGACUGUGUUGUUGCUUGUGCGACUGUGUGUUUGGCUCUUCUUGCUGCUUCUGUUGUUUGUGGCCUCUUUUUUUCGUUCUGCUGCGUUUUUUGUUGUGUUUUUAAUUGUUGUGCAGGUCUCUAUUUAUAGAGUGGGUUUGAAGCUUGAAUUUGUUACUGAUGAGCACAAAAUCAGUGGCUUGUGGAGGAGAAAAAAGGAAAUGUGUCUGUUUGUUACUGGAUUUGUUUCAGAGGAAGCGUGAAUCCGGAUUUGGAUUAGAAUGGAAAAGGAACAGAACGUGUAUAAGGAUUGAGAUGAAUUUGGACUAUUUUGUUGGACUUAUUUUUGGACAAUUUUGGGAUUUUAAUUAAAAAGAAAAAAUUAAAAAUAAAAAAAGGAUAAUGUCUAUAUUUUUGGUUUUUAAAAAGGAAAAUUUAAAAUGGGAAUAAAAGGAAUUUAAUCUAAAUUGGACUAAAAUUAAAAUUAGAGUUCUAAAUUAAAAAUUUAAAAGAUGGAAAUAAAUAAUUAAAGACUGAGAGAAGAGGGCCCGAUUCGGAACUUUAUGAGGUAUUUCAAAAUACCUCCCUGCCGAAUUUUUCACUGAAAUGCGAGUCUGGUCCGAGUUCGGAGACGUGUGUCAGUGGGACCUUAGGUCAAAAUUUGGGGUAUGACAGAUGCCCCUAUUUAAGUUUCUUCGCUCAGAGAUUCGAAGGUAAAAUCCUUGACUCGACGAGCCGAAGAGACUUAAAUACAAAAGUGCACCAAUUUUGACCUAAGAGGUUUAUGAAUGCUCAUGAUUUAAUUAUGAAUGCAUGAUGAUAAUGACGGCUCGACUGGAAUGAAAAGACACUAGGAUACCCAAAUUCUUUGAAGAAAGGGAUCCGACUUUACUGGGGAAUCUGGUUUCACUGGGGAAAAUGGUUGUUCCUCAUUGUUUCGACAUCUCGAAACAAAGUGCAAUGGUUCAGACCUCCAUGUCUAUUUGUGGACUUGGUUUUGAAAAUGGAAAAAAGAAAGAUACAAGCUUUUUGUUGGUUGAAAUUGGCCACUUGUCACAGAUUGUUCGUUGGUUGGAACUGGUUGCUGAGCAUAAAGAUAAAAGAUUGGCUCGAGUUGUUCGUUUGUUGGAACUAGUUGCUCGGAAGGUAAAAGACAUUGGCAUAGGCUAUUCGUUUGUUGGAAUCGGUCGCUGGGCAUAAAGAUAAAAUAUUGUCAUGAGUUGUUCGUUCGUUGGAACUGGUUGCUCGAAAGGGAAAGAACUGACAUAGGCUAUUCGUUUGUUGGAAUCGGUCGCUUGAAACAUAAGUUGUUCGUUGGUUGGAACUGGUUACUUAAAAUAAAGACACAAGCUGUUCGUUGGUUGGAACUUGGUCGCUUGAAAAGUUUGGAUUGGUGACAUCUCUAGAACAGCUAUGCUGGGGAUGAUACCUGGAGUUUGAAGUUGACAUCGAGAUCAACUAGCGCCAUGACUAGUACGGCCUUCUGCCGGGGAUGUCACUUCGAAACUAAAAUUGAAAUUGACUUUGAUUAGUGGCAUGACUUAGCACGGUUUUUCGCCGGGCAUGACACCUUUGAAUUUUGAAAUUGAGAUUGACAUUGAUUAGUGACAUAACUAGCACGGCUUUACGCCGGGGAUGACACUUUUGAAUUUGAAAUUGAAAUUGACAUUGAUUAGUGACAUAACUAGCACGGCUUUACGCCGGGGAUGACACUUUUGAAUUUGAAAUUUGAAAUGGAAGACGCUCAUUUGUAGAAACUUGCGGCUUGACACAAUGGUAAGCUUUGACUGAUGCGAUUAUGUGUGAAUUGAUGUUAUGCAUAUGUCGUGUACGCGUAAACGUAUGAUCAUGUGAAAAUUUUGGUGAAUGCAUGAUUGUAUGAAUGUAUGGAUAUGUGAAUGUACAUGACACGUGAAUCGAUGAACCGAGACAAGACAGGUAAGAUGGGAGUCGGACCGACAUUGUAUUCCAAACACUCGGCAACCUUCCUUGGAGAUGAUAUUAUUGUGAGCAAAUCGAGCCGUUGAUGGCGUAAGAACCUGGCACUUAGGUAGCCACCGAUGCCUCCUGGGGGGUGAGCCCAUUGUCGAUGAAAGAAGUCUGAAGAAGUCGCUAUUUGUAAAUCGGCACAGAGUGUCCUUCCAUUGGUAUGCUUCAGCAGUCAUACCUUUUGUUUUUUAAACGAAAAUCCCUAAUUUUUGCCUGGACCGCCCUUUCGGGUUUUCAGUCCACCGGGAAUAUUUUUGUUUUGCCCCUAAUUUUUGCCUGGACCGCCCUUUCGGGUUUUCAGUCCACCGGGACGCCCUCUGUUGCCUAAGUCGCCUUUUCAGGUUUUCAACUUAGCGAGCUUUUUUUGUAUUAUUUUUGUAUUUGUUUAUUCAGAGACUUUCCUUAGUGUCGAGCCACACUUUUAGCGGGAUCUAACCUCUCUUGAGUUGAUAUAUGCCUUUCUUACUCCCGAGUGCCAAGUUGUAUCUAUUUGUUUAUGCUUUUUAUUAUAUAAACCCUUUUUAGAAAUCUAUUUCAAAGUAUUAUCAUCAGUAAAAGAGAAAAAAAAAAAAAAAAAAAAAAAAAAAAAAAAAAACGAGAAACAAAACAAGUAGGAGUCAAAAGAGAGGUAAAGGCUCAAAGUUUAUUAAUCGAGUGACGCUAUGCCAAUGGCAUGACUUCAUGGAGUUAUUUACAAAGUUUGAAAAGAAAUGGUAAUUUAAAAUGGAAAGGUACGUUGAACUUCAUAACCCUAUCGUUCUCUAGCAACUUUGAAAUCCGUUAUCUUGUGGCUCGAAUGUUUUUGAUAUCAGGUAUGCCCCAAGUGUAUCUGUGUUCGACUGGAUGCAGUUACUUUGUCUCUAUUUUCCCUUUUUUUUUUUUUUUUUUUUUUUUUUUUUUUUUUUAAAAAUCCUUAAUUUUUGCAUAGACUGCCCUUUCGGGUUUUCACUCUAUCAGGAUAAUGAUCUCUGUUUAUUGUCUCUAAUUUUUGCCUGGACCGCCCUUUUCGGGUUUUCAGUCCACCGAGACGCUCAUUUUUGCCUAAGUCGCCCUUUUCGGGUUUUCGACUUACCGAGCUGUUCUUUUAAAAUUUUUAGACAAAGUAUUUCUUGACUGCAUCUGUGUUCACAGGUCGUGGAAGUUCUUCACCGUCCAUGGUUUGUAGAGUCAUGGCACCACCUGAGAAGGCUCUUUUAACAACAUACGGACCUUCAUAAUUAGGAGCCCACUUGCCUCGGGAGUCUGGUUGGAAAGAGAAAAUCUUUUUGAGCACGAGAUCACCUUCUUUAAACUCACGGGGACGAACUUUCUUGUCAAAGGCCUGCUUCAUCCUUUUUUGAUAUAAUUGUCCGUGACAUAGGGCUGUCAUGCGCUUUUCUUCAAUUAGAUUCAACUGGUCGUAUCUAUUCUGAACCCAUUCAGCUUCCGAUAAGUCAGCCUCCAUUAAGACUCUCAAUGAUGGAACUUCGACUUCUACAGGGAGUACUGCCUCCAUGCCAUAUACCAGGGAAAAAGGAGUUGCCCCUGUUGAUGUGCGUACAGAAGUACGAUAUCCAUGUAAUGCAAAGGGAAGCAUUUCAUGCCAAUCUUUAUAAGUCACCACCAUCUUCUGGACAAUCCUCUUUAUAUUCUUGUUCGCAGCUUCGACAGCACCAUUCAUUUGAGGUCUGUAAGGUGAAGAGUUAUGGUGCUCGAUCUUGAAAUCAUCACACAAUUCUUUCAUCAUCUUGUUGUUUAGAUUUGUUCCGUUGUCGGUGAUGAUCCGGUUGGGGAUGCCAUAGCGACAAAUGAUAUGAUUCUUGAUAAAUUUGACCACUACUUGUUUGGUCACGUUGGCAUACGAUGCGGCCUCAACCCACUUAGUGAAGUAGUCAAUAGCCACUAGGAUAAAACGGUGUCCAUUUGAAGCUUUGGGCUCAAUCCUUCCGAUCAUGUCAAUGCCCCACAUAGAGAAAGGCCACGGAGAGGAAAGCAAAUUGAGUGUAGUUGGCGGCAUAUGAAUCUUGUCGGCGUAUAUCUGGCACUUGUGACACUUUCUGGUAUGCUUGUAGCAAUCUGAUUCCAUUGUCAUCCAGUAGUAGCCUGCUCGCAAUAUCUUUUUAGCCAUUGUGUGCCCAUUAGGAUGAAUUCCGAAGGAUCCUUCGUGUAUUUCAUGUAUCAAUAAAUCAGCUUCAUAUUUGUCUACACAUCUGAGCAAGACCGUGUCAAAGUUUCUUUUGUACAAGAUAUCCCCAUUCAGGAAGAAAUUACUAGAUAAUCUUCUGAGAGUCUUCUUAUCUUUGUUGGAUGCUCCAGGAGGAUACUCUCGAGUUUGGAGAAACACCUUAAUAUCAUGAAACCAAGGUUUAUCGUCGAAAACUGCUUCAGCGGCAAACACAUAAGCGGGUCUAUCAAGGAAUUUGACACUGAUUAGUGGCACGUCAUUGUGAUGAUUCACCUUGAUCAUUGAAGACAAAGUAGCCAAGGCAUCCGCCAUCUGAUUCUCAUCCCGAGGAAUAUGAUGUAAUUCCACUUUGUUGAAGAAGGUCAAUAAGCGUCUUGCAUAGUCUCGAUAAGGUAUUAGUCCUGCGUGAAGAGUUUCCCAUUUUCCUUUGAUCUGGUUGAUUACAAGAGCUGAAUCUCCAUAUAUUUCGAUGUUCUUGAUUCUUAGAUCAAUGGCUUCUUCAAUACCCAUGAUGCAGGCCUCAUAUUCAGCGAUGUUGUUUGUGCAGUCAAACCGGAGUCUUGCUGUGAAAGGGAUGUGAGUACCCUUAGGAGUAAGGAGUACUGCUCCUAUGCCGUUGCCGUAUACAUUGACAGCCCCAUCAAAUAUCAAACCCCACACUGAAUCUGGAUCAGGACCUUCUCCGAAUAGUGGCUCGUCGCAAUCUUUCAUUUUUAAAUACAUAAUCUCUUCAUCAGGAAAGUCAAACUUGAUAGGUCGAUAGUCUUCAAGUGGUUGGUGAGCUAAGUGAUCAGCAAGAAUACUGCCUUUAAUUGCCUUCUGGGAACGGUACUCGAUAUCAUAUUCAGAUAGUAGCAUCUGCCACCGUGCAAUCCUUCCUGUCAAAGCGGGCUUCUCAAAUAUGUACUUGAUUGGAUCCAUUUUAGAUACCAGCCACGUAGUGUGAUUAAUCAUAUAAUGACGGAGGCGUUUGGCAGCCCAGGCUAGAGCACAACACGUCUUCUCGAGCAUGGAGUAGCGAGAUUCACAUUCAGUAAACUUCUUGCUUAAAUAAUAAAUGGCGUGCUCUUUUCUUCCGGUUUCAUCUUGUUGUCCGAGCACACAACCCAUGGAAUUUUCUAACACUGUUAGGUACAUGAUCAAAGGUCUCCCUUCAACUGGAGGGAUGAGAAUCGGUGGUUCUAGCAAGUACUUCUUUAUGCUGUCAAAAGCCUUCUGGCAUUCUUCGGUCCAUACAAUACCUUGUUCUUUGCGGAGUAGUUUGAAUAUCGGCCCACAAGUUGCAGUCAUAUGAGAAAUGAACCGGGAGAUGUAAUUUAGUCGUCCAAGAAAACCCCUUACUUCUUUUUCUGUUCUCGGAGCAGGCAUCUCUCUGAUGGCUUUGACUUUGUCAGGGUCUACUUCGAUGCCUUUCUGGCUGACGAUGAAACCUAGAAGCUUUCCGGAUCUGACACCAAAAGUGCAUUUGUUGGGAUUUAAACGAAGUUUGUACUUCCUCAGGCGCUGGAACAUCUUCUGUAGAUACUUGACAUGGUCUUCUUCAGUAAUCGACUUGACUAUCAUAUCAUCCACAUAGACCUCAAUCUCUUUAUGUAUCAUAUCGUGGAAAAGAGUAGUCAUACCCCUCUGAUAAGUAGCUCCUGCAUUGAUUAAACCGAACGGCAUUACUUUGUAGCAAAAAGUGCCCCAAGGUGUAAUAAAUGAUGUUUUCUCUCUAUCUUCGGGUGCCAUCUUGAUUUGAUUAUAACCGGAGAAUCCAUCCAUGAAUGAGAAGACUUUAGACUUGGCAGUACUGUCAACCAACACGUCAAUAUGAGGUAAAGGAAAGUCGUCUUUUGGGCUAGCUUUGUUUAAAUCACGGUAGUCAACACACAUUCUGACCUUACCAUCUUUCUUUGGAACAGGCACUAUGUUAGCUAACCAUUGGGGGUAAUUUGAUGUGACGAGGAAACCUGCGUCGAUCUGCUUCUGUACCUCUUCUUUGAUUUUGAGAGCCAUGUCAGGACGUGUUCUUCUCAAUUUUUGUUUGACUGGCGGACACUCAGGUUUCAACGGUAGGUGAUGCACCACAAUAUCAGUGUCUAGACCCGGCAUAUCUUGGUAGGACCAGGCAAACACAUCAACAUAUUCUUUGAGGAGCUCUAUCACUUGCUUUUUAACACUUGUUUCGAGCGAUGCCCCAACCUUGAUUUCUUUCUUGUCUUCUUUGGUGCCCAAAUUAAUCACUUCUAAUUCGUCCCCAUAAGGCUGAAUGGUCUUCCUCUCUUGUUCGAGUAGUCGAGAGAUUUCGUCAGGGAUCUCUUCAUUCUCUUCUUCCUCCGUUUCAUACACAGGGAACCCAAAGUUGGGAGAGAUCAUAGGGGUAUGUUGUUCAACGGGUUCGUCGAUUUCUAAUCUGCACAUGUGAUGGAUGAUUUUUUAGAAAAAAGAUACAUGCAGAUUUUUUUGAAAAUUCAUGUUGGGUUUUUUGUAUUACCACUUUUCAGAAAAGCAUAAAAGAAAAUGAGACAAAACAUCGGGAAAAAAAACGACAUUUUUAUUUUAUUGAUGAUAAUUUCUUGAAAUAAAAAAAAAGCCCUAGAUAAGUUCACUUUCGCUUGGGGCGGGGCGAAAGGAUUUUUUUGAAAAGAAAAGCAUAAACUAGACAAAUGCAUUACUUGGACAAGUGAGUAACAAAAGGAACAUCUACGGCAACCCAAUUGUGGCUGGAUACUCCUGGCGUUAUAAAACCUCGUGGCACACUUUCAGGACCAUCUUCAAUGAUUGCAUGGAUAAAGCCCGAACUGUGGAAAGCGCCCUUCUUCGCUGUGGACAAACCAGUAGAUGGGAAGAAACCCAAACCUUCUCGGUGCUUGUUUUCUGGAAGCUCUAUCAGCUUUCCCCAGCUUGUGGACCCCCCUGCUUGUAUGACCUUCUGAGCAUCUUUUAGGGACGAGAUAGAGGCUUCAUUCUUCUGGGUAUUCUUAUCUUCUAUAGUAAACCCUUGAAAAGGUGUCCCUUCGACAUCGUCUGCCCCAAUGAAAGAGAAAGAUGACAAAUGACUCACCAAUAAAGCCUCUUCACCGUUUACAGUUACUAGCUUCCCAUUCUUUACAAACUUCAGCUUUUGAUGCAGCGUGGAUGUGACAGCUCCUGCUUCGUGAAUCCAGGGUCGACCCAGUAAGCAACUAUAUGAAGCUUGAAUGUCCAUGACUUGAAAAUUAACUUGAAAAACUUGUGGCCCAACUGUGAUAGGUAGAACCACCUCACCAAGGACAUCCUUCCUCGAGCCAUCAAAAGCUUUCACCAUUACCCCACUUCGUCUUAAAGGUGCGCCUUGGUAAGCGAGUUGGGUAUAAGUUGUUUUGGACAACACGUUCAAAGAUGAUCCAGUAUCCACCAGUACAUUUGACAAAGCAUCGGUUUUACAGUUCACAGAUAUAUGCAGCGCCCGAUUGUGGUUCCUUCCUUCUGCUGGGAGCUCUUCAUCACUGAAACUCAAGUUGUUGCAUGCAGUGAUGUUCCCUACUAUUCCGCCAAACUGACCCACCGUUACAUCAUAAUCCACAAAAGCUUGUUCUAAAACCUUCAUUAAUGCAUCUUUAUGGGCCUCAGAAUUUAGUAAUAAAGACAUUAUGGAUAUUUUGGAUGGAGUCUGCAUCAGUUGGUCAACAACCUUGUAUUCGCUCUUCUUUAUUAACUUGAGAAUCUCAUCAAACUCUGCACUUGUACCAGCCCCAUUGGGUUGAUCCACUUCUUUGGCGAUACCAGCAUCUUUAGUCCGAACCUCCUUGUUUACUGUAGCAUCAAUCCUCCUUGGGAACACUAUGGGGACAACGCGCCCAUUUCUCAAAACUCUGCUGUCUUCAACAAUAUUAUCCACACUGGACAGAGGCGGUAUUGGAACCUCGCGACCCUCUUCAAUCAUGGUGGCAUUGUAUUUGUAUGGAACGGCUUUUUCAGAAACAUAUGGCAGUGGACCUGGUAAGCAGAUUACCAGAGGGGUGAUAGUUGACUUUCGACUGUCGUAAAAUACCUCCAAAGGUCCUUCGGGAGUUAUUGCACACACAUCAUCGCACUUCCUUUCGACCACAAGCUCUCCUCGGUCUAGAAGCCCUUGAAUAUCAUUUCUUACUUUCUGACAUCCUCCGGAGUUCAUAAGGCAUAUUUCACAGAGAUCAUGAUCAUGCUCGAAAAGGUCGACUUUGCAUAACUUGGCAUGUAACGGAACCAAGGGUGUUCUGAUAUGUUGAACAUCCUGAAUGGGACGAGUCUUUUGACAAUCUUCGAUCAUGUUGACUGUUGCGGCACCAUGAUUCGGCAAUGGGUUUGUUUGAACAUUUGGCGCCGAAUCUGUGAAAGUUAUUUUUCCAUCAUUGAUCAACCUCUGCACUGUGCUUUUAAAGGCAUAACAAGUUUCAAUGUUAUGGCCACGGCCCCCUUCAUGGAAGUCACAAGUUUGGUCAAGUCUAUACCAAGAUGGUAGUUUUUCUGGGAUAGGAGGAGCUGUUCUGGUUUGGACAAGGUUUUUCUGGAGUAAGCCGGGAAGUAAUUCUGCAUAGGUGACCGGUAUUGGGUUAAUCGGCAUUCUUGGUGGUCGAGGUUGUUGUGGGCGUUGUUGAUAAGGUUGUUGUUGGAAAUUUUGUUGAGGGUAUUGUUGAUAUGGGAAUUGUUGGUAUGGUUGUUGUUGGUAUGGUUGUUGUUGGAAAUUUUGUUGUUGGACAUUUUGUGGUUGGACAUUUUGUGGUUGGACAUUUUGUGGUGAAGGAUUUUGUGGGAAUUGAGGAUAUUGUGGUAUUUGAGGAUGGUUAUUUGUUUGUUGAAAAGGGUGAGAGGUGGGUGUGAUGGCAGCAAUGUGUUGAUAGGCUGGAUAAGUUUGUUGAGGCCCUCCAUGAGUCACCAUACCGACUUCUUGUUCUUUCUUCCUCGGGAAAUGGUUCCCGGUCUUCUUGGUCCCACUGGCCGGAGUUGUAUUCUUUACUAAGCGUCCUUCUCGGACUCCUUCUUCUAACUGUACUCCCAUACCAACCAUCUCCGCGAAGCUCUUUGGUGUACUCCCGACCAUCUUUUUGUAAUAAAAAUGAUUCAAAGUUUUUAGGAAGAGCUUGGUCAUCUCUUUCUCCUCAAUUCGUGGGCUGACUUGGGCAGCGGUGUCUCUCCACCGUUGGGCAUACUCUUUGAACGUCUCUUUAUCUCCCUGAGUCAUGGCUUGGAGAUCACUUCGGUCCGGAGUCAUGUCUACAUUGUAACUGUACUGUUCCACAAAAGCUUCGCAAAGGUCACGGAAAGUUUGAACUCUUGUUUUGUCUAGGUUUGUGUACCACUUUGAAGCAGGGCCGGUCAAGCUUUCUUGGAAAUAGUAAAUAAGAAUCUGAUCAUCUUGGGCGUAUGCUGGCAUCCUUCUCACAUACAUUUUUAGAUGUUCCUCAGGACAAGAACUCCCUUUGUAUUUCUCGAAAUCUGGAAUCUUGAAUUUGUGAGGUACCUGCACACUUGGUACCAAACAGAGAUCGUACGCAGUCUUCCCGAAUUUCCCUUUUUCAUGGAGAGCUUUCAUGUCUCGGCGUAGUUCAUCAUACUUCUCUCGUAGGUCACUUACCUCCCCGUAAGCCUCUGCAUUCCCUGAAUGAAAGAUAGGCUCUUCAGCUUGCGGAAUUGUAUGCAUCACGGGUGCUGAGUAGGUUAUGGUGGCGGGAGUGGCCCUCAUGGCAGGUAGGGGUACUUGAGCCGUGUACUGGUGAGUGGGCAUCUGAGCUUCACAAGUGAUAGGACGAAAUAUCUCCCCAGCAGUGAAAGGUGGAAACCAAGGCGUGGAACGUUGCGGAGCGGACUGCGUUGGAGUGUCAGCACAUAGUGUCCAAGAAGAAGAUGCCUCGGCCUGAGUUCUGACAGGAGGAGGAGGUGGAGGUGCUUGUGAUCGGGCCUGCGCCUGAGCUUGAGUUUGAGCUUGUGCCAAUGCUUGCGCUUGUUCUUGAAUCUGUGCUUGAGCUUGAGUCUGAGCUUCCGCCAUUGUUUUUAUUAAUUCAGCCAUCUCGUCCAUCCUAGUCUGCAUGGCUGUCAUUUCUUCACGAAGUACCCGAUUUUCCUGCUCAAGAUAAUCCAUCUUCUUUUUUACGUUUGCCCGAGUGUAGUGAGUACGGGUUGACUUGUAGAUGAUACGUGGGGCCACCGUAUGAAACGAGUUGACCCUUUUUCUGGAAAAGGAAGUUUGUGUGAGACUUUGAUUUGAGACUAUGAAAUGCAGGAUGAUGCAUGAUUGUUUAUGCAAAAAUGGACGUAUAUUUUUUUUAUCGAAGGACUUAUGAAAGUAUUUUUGUAAAUAUCAUAGUUGAGAGUUCCAUUUGAAUAAUUUACAUAUUACGAGAUAAUUCCCUUUCUAAACAACGAAACCAAGGGAUAGACUUUGCAAAUAAAUAAGAUAAAUAUCUAACUUAAAAAAACAAAAAUAAAAGAAAGACUGGGAACUCUCAAGCUCUUUGAAGUAGACUAUUCAUCAGAAUCUGAAUGUGCAUCUUUGAAGAACUCCCAACGCUCCCCUGCGCUGAUAAAUUGUGAUAGCCUUGUGCUCUGAGCUCGGAUCUGAACAUUCUUUUUUACUAUUUGCCGUCUCAGCUUGUGAACCUCAUGCUCUUGUUGUUCUAUCUCACCACUCAUAGUUUCCAUUUUGAGCAUAGCUUCAUCAUACUUCCUCUUCCAAGUAGCACCCACACAUUCCGAUUGGGCCAACCUCUCUUGACAUUCCUCCACAGUUGCGGGGGCCAAGGGUAAAGCCGGCGCUGGGGUUGUUGAAGAUAGGUACCUCGGCAAAUGAUAUGGUAAGACCAGAUCGGAAGCUCUAUUGAUGACCCAUUGAGUGUAAGACCCCUGUAAAGAGUCUGAUCUCCUCGCCAAUUGGCUUCUAUUGAGUGUGCGAAUGGCAUGCCAUGCUUGGACAAAUCUCCCUCUUUUGUUUGAGGGAUCUUCAUGGUUGAAGUAGAAUUCACCCUGUAAGUAGAUGUUAUCUGGCUUAGCUUCCAUCGGGCAUCCGAACUGACGUUUGGCAAGGAUAGGAUUGUAGCUGAUUCCUCCUUGCGUACCGAGAAGGGGUACAUUUGAGUAUUCUCCACAACUGACAAUGAUGUUCGUGAAGUUACAAGUGGCACGGUACCAGGUUAUGUCGGAUGGGGUAAGGGACAUGAUUCUUUUGGGCCAGGAGAGAUUUUCUGGGUUGGCUUGAAAGGAGUGGGUCUGAGGUAAGUGAGAGGUAAACCAUUUGUAUAGUAAGGGUGCGCAACCAAGGAUAGCUCCACGACCUACCUGGGUUCGAUCGUGAAUGGAAUGAUAUAUAUCAGCUAACAAUGUGGGGACUGGGUUCUUUGUGAGGAAAAUUUGGAUGGCAUGGAUGUCAACAUAGUUAUCAAUAUUCGGGAACAAUACUAGGCCAUAGAUGAGUAAAGCUAGGAUAGAGUAAAAGGCCUCAACAUUGUUUGUUUUGGAAAAAUUGAAGGCUUGUUGGUAAAGAAAUUUAGUAGGUAAGCUUGGGAGAUUCCCUUUUAGGGUGAGUUUUUCUUUUAUGAGGGAGGUUUUGAGAUGGAGGGCAUUUGCAAUAGUGGCGGCUUUGGGAAAAGGUUCUAAACCAGUAAAAGGUACCUUAUCAAGUACGGGUAGGCCAAUUAAGUGAGAGUAUUCUUCGAGGGUAGGCAUAAGCUGGUAGUCAGGAAAAGUGAAACAGUGGUAAGCAGGGUCAUAGAACUGGACCAAGGUCUCCAAGCACCCCUUCUCGAUAUUUGUCCAGAGGACACCAAGCAACUUCCCAUGACGAUCACAAAAGUUCUCCAAGUUAGUUACUUCAAAUGCAAGCUUCUUUAAGUUCUCUAGAUCCAAUUUCCUGAAUGUAAACUUCCUAGUAUUUCUUCUUUCCAUGCCUAUGAUAUUUACAAAAACAAGUAUAAGCCCUUCGAUAUUUUUUGAUGAAAAAAGAUAAAAUUAUGAAUGAAUGCAUGUAUGCAUGAUUAUGCAUAGGUUAAGCUUAUCAUGUUGGAGUUUAAAGGUAGUAACCCCCAUUUGGUAAGGACUAUGGUUUCAUUUGUACCUGUAUCACGGGUUCUAUUAAGUUCCCAAAGUCAUCAACUACUUCCGAACGUUAUCAGGUUACAAGACUACUCUCGAUCCAAUAAUAUCCGUAAGAAAGUUUCAUUUGAGUGUAGUAUCGCGUAUCAACUAAUUCAAGACUACUCUUGAUUAGCCACCGCACUACGUCCUAAAAGGCUAAGAUGGGUUAAGGGUAACUAAAGGUCCUCAACUUCGACGGUCACUUGAAAAUAUAAUGCCAACACGACUAUUCAUGCCAACAUAGAUUACUUUCAAGAUUCCUCCAUUGAGUGGGGUUGUACCACAUGAACCUAAACACGAGACUUGACUCUCGGAAAGGCACUUUGGUUAUACCACCGUCCUAUCUUAUGUUUCUCUCAAGCCCGGGUGUAGGGCUUUAUCUCACCACUCAUAUUUAAAAAGAAAGGAAGAAAGAGAGAAGAUAAAAGAUAUAUACAAUUUAUUUCCAUCUUUAUUUUUUUGUUUUUUUUUUGUUUUAAGCAAGUUAUAGCACAAAGAAUUAAAUAAAGCCAAGUUAGGCUCAACCCUCUUAGGGGGGGGUCCCCAGUGAAGUCGCCAUUUCUGUCGCGUCAUUUUUGGAGAUCAAGGCUAUUUGAUUAGCUUUUGACUCACUAAUUAUUUCACGACUGAACAUUUAAUUUUUAAGGAAAAGGGGAAAAAAGUUCAAAACACCCCAUAUUGAAAAGAUUUAGGGUUCGGGGGUUAGUUACAUAAAGGGAAGGUAUUAGCACCCUUUACGUCCGUAGUACUCUACGGGAACCUCUUGGUUUUAUUUAAUUUAAUGUGCUAUAACUUGCUUGCUUUUGAAAAAGAAGUUAAUGUGAUGAUUAAAAGAAAAAGAAAGUGAGACCUAAUUUAUCUACAUUUUUUAUUGUUUGGAAGGACGAGUGUCCUCUGCCUACGUACCCGUGAAGGAUCAAAACCUCGUAGUUCGGGGUAGAAAAUGACGCUUGAUUGGUUUUGUGUUUUUUUAUUAGUUUUUGAAAAAGGUUUUAAAGAUAAAAGCCAAGUGGCAAAUAAGAAUUUGUUUGUGUUUUUUAAUUUAAAUGAAAAUAAACUCAAGGUAGAAUUAAAUUGAUUGAUGUUUGAUUAAGAAAAGAAAAUAAAGAUGCGGUCACUUGAUUUGGAUCAAGGUUUAUUAUAAAAAAUAUUUUUUGUGAUUUUUUUUUUGGUUAUUUGCAUGUUUUGUGAUUUUUUUGAAAAUAUUUAAACUAACGGAGCAUAAAGAAUAAAAGCGUGGCUACCCUAAGUUAGAAAUAUAAAAUCUAUGACUAUUACAUAAAAACCUAUUUACAUUCUAAGGUCUGCAAUAAAAUUAAAAUGCUAAGAAAAAUAAAUAAAUACGAAAAAGAAUAAAAAAAGGUCCAAACACAUGGUGGGGUGCAGUGGUAAACAGGGGUGUGCAGAAAGCAGAAAAAAAAAGGAUUGGGCUCAAGGAAAAUGAACCGGGUUGCGGGUCAUGGGUCAUGGGUCGUGGGUUGACCCGUUUGGGGGGUAUAUAAGGGCUGUUGGGCCCUUUUUCUUUCAUUUUUCUUUUUCCUUUCUCUCUCUUCCUCACCGGUUCUCUCUCUUCUUCUCUGUUCUCUCUCUAACUCUCUUCUUCUCCGGCGGAGUGGGGUGGGGGUUCCGGCGGGAUUCCGGCGCGGUGGCCGGCGAGCCAUCGCGGCUGCGCCGCCGCGCCGGAGCUAAAAAAACUCCCCCUUUUUUAUUUUUUCGCUCUUUCUCUUCCUCUUUUCCCCCCUUACGUGAUACUAAACCCAAAAAUCCCAAAACCUUUACUCAAACGUCUAGAUCUAAAAAGAAAGAAAUUUAUACCUUUUUGUUUUUUUGUUGAUCCGGUUUCGUGAUGUGAUUGUCGCUGUUGUGACGGUUUGUGCGCCUCUGUGUGUGCGUGUAUGUGCUGUGUUGUGUUGCCCGCGGCCGUAUUCCCGUUUCUGUGCACGUGCGUGUGUUGUGGCGUGGACUGGUGCGUGUGUGUUGUGCGCGGACUGGUACGGUUUGGACUAGUGCGUGGCGUGAGUUGUUGGCUUGUGCGACUGUGUUGUUGCUUGUGCGACUGUGUGUUUGGCUCUUCUUGCUGCUUCUGUUGUUUGUGGCCUCUUUUUUUCGUUCUGCUGCGUUUUUUGUUGUGUUUUUAAUUGUUGUGCAGGUCUCUAUUUAUAGAGUGGGUUUGAAGCUUGAAUUUGUUACUGAUGAGCACAAAAUCAGUGGCUUGUGGAGGAGAAAAAAGGAAAUGUGUCUGUUUGUUACUGGAUUUGUUUCAGAGGAAGCGUGAAUCCGGAUUUGGAUUAGAAUGGAAAAGGAACAGAACGUGUAUAAGGAUUGAGAUGAAUUUGGACUAUUUUGUUGGACUUAUUUUUGGACAAUUUUGGGAUUUUAAUUAAAAAGAAAAAAUUAAAAAUAAAAAAAGGAUAAUGUCUAUAUUUUUGGUUUUUAAAAAGGAAAAUUUAAAAUGGGAAUAAAAGGAAUUUAAUCUAAAUUGGACUAAAAUUAAAAUUAGAGUUCUAAAUUAAAAAUUUAAAAGAUGGAAAUAAAUAAUUAAAGACUGAGAGAAGAGGGCCCGAUUCGGAACUUUAUGAGGUAUUUCAAAAUACCUCCCUGCCGAAUUUUUCACUGAAAUGCGAGUCUGGUCCGAGUUCGGAGACGUGUGUCAGUGGGACCUUAGGUCAAAAUUUGGGGUAUGACACACUGCAAAGAAGAUUGACAUCGAAUGUCUUUUUCGCAUUAGACAAGAAACAUACCUUACCUGGGAGGGUUUCCUUUUACCCUAAGAGGGUUUCUUUUUACCCCAAGAGGGGUAAAAAGUUCUUGGGGUCAAAAGAAGCAGAUUUAGUACUACCCAGGGUUUCUUAUAAUAGAAAUUUUUGCUUUACCCCUUCACCUUCAUGUUCUUCUGAAGUAGAUUUAGUAUGAUCCUAAUCCCCCUUCCCUAGACAAGAAACAUAUCUUUUUGUAAAUGUAUCAAUUAUAUUAAUAAAAUGAGAUUUUAUGUGCUAUAUUUUUGUUUUUUAUUUAUAUUUGCAUUUAUUUUAUGAUUUUGGCAUCUAAAUAAAAGUUGUGUAUUUAAUAAAUAAAUUCGAAUAAAGACUAAUUAAACCCAUCAUGAAUUUGAAUAAAAAUUGCAUAUUGAAUAAAUAAAUUUGAAUAAAGUCAAUUCAAAUAAAAGUAGCAUAUUGAAUAAAUAAAUUCUAAUACAAACUAAUUAAACCCAGCAUGAAUUCGAAUAAAAAUUGUGUAUUGAAUAAAUAAAUUCGAAUAAAGUGACACAAGUACACAAAAUCAAUUAAAAAAAUACACAAUUUUAUUUAGUUUUAAUUUCAUCUACAUUAUUUUAUCCCUAAAUAUAUGUGGUAUCAUCAUGAUGUUGGAUUUAAAUUUAAUUCUUGAAAGUUUGCUAAAAAAGUUGGCAUGGAAGUGUCGUAUACUUCGGGUAGAGAUUUGCAACACCUUUGAAAAGUCAAAAGAAUGAAGAGAACACAACACAUGUGUAACACCCCGUUUUCCCAACAUAAAAAUUUCACAUAAAUAAUCAUAGUAUUCACAUAAACGGAAUGUCACACUUCUUUCGUAAAUUAUAAUCGGGAUAAAAUUACUAUUUAUCCUUCAAAAUUCAAUAGCAUAAUCAUUUCAAACUUCGCAGCGGAAUUAUUUCAACAUUUAAACAGUCUUUGGUACGAAGGCCUCAUCAUAAUAUCUCAUAUGCUUAAAUAUGCAAACUGUCCCUGUAAAAAAAAAAAAAAUUAAUUACAUCCCUGUAAUUUUUUUUUUUGUUUUAAAAAUGUCCUUGGCCCCACUUCGCUGGUGAUGUGGCAACGUUUUGGGCCACGUGGCAGUUGCUGACUAGGCAACUGAUGCCACGUGGCAGUCCAUAUAAUUAAAAAAUUAAAAUUAUUUUUUUAAAUUUAAAAAUAUAAAAAAAAAACAUUUUAAAAAAUCUGAAAAAAUAAAAAAAUAUUAAAAUAAUUUUCUGAAAUUAUUUUUAUCAUAUAAUUUUUAUAAAAAAAUAUUAUUUUUUUAAAAUUAUAAAAUCUGAAAUUUCUGAAAAAAAAUGAAAUGAUUUUUUAAUUUUUUUUUUAAAAUAUGAAGAAAAAAAUAUAAUUUUCAAAUUAAAGUCGAAAAUUUAAUUUUAACAGUUUUUUUUUUUCAAUUUUUAUAAUGAUUUUUGAAUUUAUUUUCAUAUUUUUUUAAUUUAAAAAUAAUUUUAAUUUUUUAAUUAUGUGGACUGCCACGUCGAGUGCCACGUGGCAGAAGUUGCACAGUCAGCAACUGCCACGUGGCAAAACCCAUGCCACAUCACCAGCGAAGUGGGGCCAAGGACAUUUUUAAAACAAAUUUUUUUUUACAGGGAUGUAAUUAAUUUUUUUUUUACAGGGACGAAAAUCAAAAUGAGCCCAAAUUACAGGGACAGUUUGCAUAUUUAAGCCUAUCUUUUAAAUCAAUCAUAAAUAUCUCAUAAGUCAAAUCCAACAAUCUAGUCAUAAAUCCUCAUAGAGCAAUACAUAAGGAAUAGAAAGAAAAAAAAACAAUAACAAGUUUCAAUCCCGUUACGUAUCAGAGCACCUAAAGACACACGUGAGAGAGUCCACUCACGACCGCAACUAAUCUUGGUUACCUGCAAGUUACCCAUGUAUAGAGGCAACAUUUCAAAGCAGAAGGGGUGAAAUUCACAAACAAUAAUAUUAAGCAUAUUAUUCAUCACUUAUAUUUAACAACAUAAACAUCUUCAACGCAUCAUAAUAUUAAUUCUCAAUAAACACUUCAUUAAAAUAUCACAACUUAACAACUUGACUUGACAAUGCAACUUCAACUUGACUAUGCAACUCUAUCUUCUUAAUCAUGCAUGUGGUACCAAUCCAGGGCAUCAAGCCCUCAACAUAAGAGUAUAAAUAUACUCACAGGGCAUCAAGCCCUCAACGAGUAGAGCAAAGGCUCACAGGGCAUCAAACCCUCAACGGGUAGAGCAAAAGCUCACAGGGCAUCAAGCCCUAAACAUAAAUGAGUAUGCAUGGACUCAACAUCUUACAACUUAGAAAACAUCGACAUCUUAUGAUUCCAAUAAUUUGGAUCAACAUCUUACAUCUUAGACCGACUCAUGCAGCUUAAUCAAUAAUAAACAGCAACAUAGGCAGCACAUAAAACAGCUCAUGAUAUAGCAAUAUCAAAUGAUAAUCAACAUCAAUCUUAAACAUCUCUUAUAAUUCGCAUACUGUAUAUACAAUUAUAUCACAUUAUUAGCAACAUCAAAUCAUUUAUAUCAGGCUUACUGAAACAGCAGCAGUAGUAUAAGCAACUUCAUUUCCUACCCCAAGGAUCAUCUCACAACAACUCGUGCGACAAAAUCACAUAAAUCCUAAACAAGGUAGUUUGUCUAACAGGAGCUCGCGAGGCGAGGGCCUCUACUCGCCUGGCGAGUUCACAAAUUUGGUUGUUCGCCUUGGCGAACAAGCAGCUCGCCUUGGCGAACUAUAAACUAGGUGCUCUCGGGAACUUGACAUUUUUCACCCAAAAAUCCCAUUUUUAACUUCCCUGUGUUCAAUCUCAGUCUAAAAACUUGCCUAAUCAUUCUUAUACAUAUUCUGGCACUCAAAACCAUCUAAAGCUCGACUAAAGGAUUAAUUUCCAAAAUCAAGGUUGACUCAUUGGUCAACUCGCUAUGGCGAGUGACUUGCUCACUGUGGCGAGCAACUUCUAGGUACUCGCGUGGCGAGCGAUGAACUUCAUCCCUCGCGAGGCGAGACAUGCUGCUCGCAAGGGCGAGCGAUGAAUAUAGGCUUGGGCAGAAUGCAGAUUUUCACGAAAAUCCACCUAAUCACAUGGUUUUAAGCUUAACAUUGAUUCCUGUAAUCAUCGUAUGGCUUAUCUAAGGUCUGUACACGCUUUCUCCAUCAAUUCAAUGGUUUCUCACCCUCUAAUCAUCAAUUCUCACUCUUAACCCGAAUUCUUAAAUUCUCAAAAACUAGUCCUACAACAUGUUAAAUACAACUAUCAGAAUUAGAGGCUUAAGAAAAUUGAGUGCUAGUCCCACCCUUACCUUAAGGAAUCGAUUGGACAGCCUCUCUUGGUUAUUCUCUUCUCUUGUUCUCCCUUUUCUCCAAAAACUGCUUGUACGUGAAAACUUUUCUAAACCUAGUUCUCACCUAUUUAUAUCUCCCCAUCUAUCUUAUCUUAUUCCACUUUUUUCCACAAAACUCUCUAAAUUCACAAAACAACCCCUCAUCUCAAUAUUUAUUUUAUUUUCAAAUCUUAAUCUAUUAAAUAAUAAAAUAAGCCACAACACCUCAUAAAAUUUCUAAAAUCACAUGAAUCACAUAAAUAUAUUUCAAACUCAAUAAAAUAAUUCAAAUAAUCAAAGUGGGCGUUACAACAUGUAUUCUAUCAAAUCAACUAUAUAAAUUCUCUUUCUUAAAAAAAAAACUAUAUAAAUUCUCACAUCGAAUUCCCUCAUAUAAAAUGAGUAUUCACACAAAGGAAUGCAUUCCAAGAGGUUGCUUUGAACUUAAUCUUACUGCCCUGCCAACUGACAAGUUUCAAUUGACAGAGGAGCAUGAUCAAGUUCAAAGGAACCUCUUAGAGGUGCAUUCCCGUCAUUCUUUGACUUUUUAAAGAAUAUGCAAAUAUCUAUCCUAAGUAUACGACACUUCGAUACUAACAUCUUCAACAAACUAACAAGAAUUAAACUUAAAUUUCUAACAAAAUAAAGACAAUACAUAAUAACGAUGCUACCUAAUCAUAAUCUUUUGGCGGAAUCAAACUGUUGAGAAUAUCUUCAGGCAAUCUCAUCAACGUGACAAACAUAUCAAUCCACGGAAACAUGUUGUGCUGCCAAAAAAUCGAGAACAUGCUCCUCACGUCGUCAUCGUUCGUUAAUUCUAGCCAACUGAAUGUUAUUCUGCCCCUCGUCCAACGUUGGGCAUUCAUACCAAAUGUAUUUCACUCUCCUUGUGUCUCCGGGGUUGAGUCCUUAGUUGAUUUCAUUCAGUUGAUCCUUGAGACCUUUUAACGUGACAUUAAUGUAAAGAACCUUGAACAUCUGAGGAUUUUCACCGUUGAAGCGUAUGCAAACAUUGAACAAAUCAGCCAUUGUUUCAAAUCUACACCAUAAAAAAUUAAACGAUCAAUGAAAAACUCAUUCAAACAUUUCAUCAAACACUUGGAGUGCAAAUUAUACAUAAAUCCUAAAACUAAUAACUACAACAUCAACAUGCAAACAUCUAAACAAUUAAGGAAUAUAAAUCAUUUACAUGUAAUAUUGUAUCAUUGCUUGCCAAAAAAAAAUGAAAAUUUAAACAAACCCUAAAACUAAAAAAAUUCUAAUGUAAGAAGAAAAAUCCAACAUAUAAACAUAAAAAGGUUAAUGGUGUUUCAUUAUGAAAACUUACUUGUUAUUGGAGUGUUGUUUGAUUUAAACUUGAAGGAAUUUUGGAUUUGGGUGAUUUGAGAGAGAUUUUGGAGAUUUUAGAUGGGAAAUGAGGAAAUAAGGUUAUGUCUGCCUUUAAAAUAACACGCAACGUGAGUUAAGUCACGCAAAAUUAACACUAGCAUGAGUUAACUCACGCAGGGGUAAUUUUGAAAAUUUGGUUGGAAAUGAGCAAAACAUGUUGGGAGAAGAGCAUAAUUCCAAUGACGAUGUGGACCGACCCAUCUCAUUUAGACUUGUCCUGCUGGUAGCCAUAAAAAUGGGACUAUUACUUUUCCCACCCUAUGCCUUUACUCGCGAGCCCUAUUUUUUUCCAAAAUUACCAUCUGAGCAUUCCGGAUUUCAUAAUCCGGAAUGGUAUUUUCCUUUGUUAUAGGGUGAAAAAUGGAGUUACGGGUUUUUCCGGAUUUUGUAAUCCGGAAACUUCAAAAAAUAGGGCGCGUUACAUGAUGUUUCCGGAUUACAUAAUCCGAAAACCCCCUAAACACCCUUUUUCAACGUAAAACAUUUCAGAUUAUAUAAUCCGAACUGUAUCAGCACAAAUUCUAAACAUGUUUGUAACAUGGAUAGUCAUUUUAUGGACAAUAUUAUUCUUCCUAAUUCGCAUCCUUCUGUUUUGGGUCAUUGUUACAUGUUCUUAGUCAAAAAUCGGGUUUCCGGGCUACUUGACCGGAUUGCUCCGAAACUUGCCCAGAAAAUCAAAAAAAAUUCAAGGACCAUGCCUCCCCUAGAAGGGACUUCCAAUGGGACUCCACCCCUCAAAAUCCAAAAUUCCAUCGUUUAGACCAAUUUUUAAUUUUUUUAAUUUUUCAUAUUUUCAGAAAAAUCCGAAAAAAUUUGCAUUAUUUUUAUUUGAUUUUUAGAAUUUUUUGAUGCUAUUUUUAUAUUUUUAUGAUUUUAUUUGAUAGGUUUUAAGCAUUUUUUACUUAGUUUUUUUUUUGUUGUUUUGAAAAGCAAAACUCAAAACUGUUAAAAUGUGAGAGAGUCUGAUGUCUGAUUAUACAUAAGAAUUGUCCGGAUUAUAAAAUCCGAAAUAAUAAACAUGAAUCCGGAUUUUAAAAUCCAGAAUGCACAAGGGCAUUUUUGAAAAAAUUAUAGGGCGCAGGAGAAGGCGAUAAGAUGGGAAAAGUAAUAAGAGUAAGGCGAGACGGGUAAGUUUGAGGUAGUGCGUUCAAACACAAAUUUCAUUUUAUUAAAAGACAUAAUAACGAGUUUUAAUUAUUAUUUUUUAGGGCGACUGAGGAGUUGGUAGUUGACAAAAAAAAUUAGGAAGAAAAUUUGCAACAUUUUGUUUUUUUAAAAAGCGUUGUCUACGAAACUUAAACUUUUAUAUGUAAGAUAUAAGAGCAUUUCUUAAAACACGGAAAAAAAGAAAAACGUUAAGAAGGAAAUUUGCAACAACUUUUUAUCUCCAAAAAGUUUUUUUUAUUGAAGGAAUGAUUCUAAAAAUUUUUCUUUAUUUGAGGGAAUAUCUCUAAAAAGUUGUUUAAUUGACUUAACAAGUUUUAAAGAAAAAAAUUAGUAAGAAAUUUUCAACAACUUUUUUUCUCGAAAAAGUAGUCAGAUAGAUUUUUUUUUAAAGAAAAGUUGCCUAAAAGAUUAAAGAACUUUUUUUUCCCAUAGAAGAUAAGAUAUCAUUUUAAAAAAAAAAAAAAUUAGUUAAAAAGGAAAUUUGUAACUUUUUUGACUGUAAAAAGUUGUCUAAAAGACUUAACUUUUAUAUAUAAGAUAAGAGAUCAUUUAUUUAAAAAAAAACAAAAAACAAAAAGUUAGCAAGGAAAUUCGAAACAAUUUUUUUUUCUCAAAAGAGUUGUCUAAAAUCAUAAGAACUUUUAUAUAUAAGAUAAGUGAGAGAAUUCAAAAUAUCAAGAAUAGGAGUAAUCUUCAACUCUUCUUUUGACUUCAUUUCUAAUAGGUUACUUGCAAUCAUACAUAUAUAGUAUUGACCUUGAUUAAGGGUGUCGAGUUUACUUGAUAGCAAAUUCAAUCAAAUGUCAUUUAAUGAUUUGAAUUACUAUGUUUUAAGCUUCUAAUCUUUCAUUAUAAAUGACCUUUUUUGUCUUUUGAAAAAUAUUUAUUGUUGCAGUAAUGAAAGCAGUGUUGUGAAGGAAAUAGUUGGCAAUGUUUUGAAAAAACUAGACAAGAAAUACUUGCCUAUCCCAGAUUUUCCAGUAGGAUUAGAAUCCCGUGCGGAAAAAUUGAUUCAGUUUCUAAGAAAGAAUACAAGAGGAGUUUGUUUAGUAGGGAUUUGGGGAAUGGGAGGGAUUGGCAAAAGCACCAUUGCCAAAGUCGUCUACAAUAAUCUUUGUUAUGAAUUUGAAGAUCAAAGCUUCCUUGCUAAUAUUAGACAAGUUUGGGAGAAAGAGAGGGGGCAAAUUGAUUUACAAGAACAACUUCUUUCAGAUAUCCUUAAAACAAGAAAUGUAAAGGUGCAUAAUGUUGAGUGGGGAAAAGCUAUGAUCAAUGAACGACUUUGCACGAAACGGGCACUUGUUAUACUUGAUGAUGUCAGUACACGCGAGCAAUUAAAUGCAUUAUGUGGAAAUCGAAAUGGGAUUGGUCCAGGAAGCAUAAUAAUCAUCACAACAAGAGAUGCACGUCUACUUGACAUCCUUGGAGUUGAUUUUAUUUAUGAAGCGGAGGGAUUGAAUGUGCACGAAUCUCGUAGGCUUUUCAACUGGCAUGCGUUUAAGGAGGCGAAUCCAAGUGAAGCUUUCCUCAUACUCUCCGGAGAUGUAGUUUCCUAUUGUGGUGGACUACCACUAGCUCUUGAAGUCCUUGGAUCUUACUUAUUCAAUAGGAGAAAACGAGAGUGGCAGAGUGUAAUAUCCAAGCUACAAAAGAUACCCAAUGAUCAAAUACACGAGAAACUAAAAAUAAGCUUUGAUGGUUUAGAGGAUCAUAUGGAAAAGAAUAUAUUUCUUGAUGUCUGUUGUUUCUUUAUCGGUAAGGAUAGAGCUUAUGUUACAGAGAUACUAAAUGGGUGUGGACUUCAUGCUGAUAUUGGAAUAGAAGUGCUGAUAGAGAGAAGCCUCCUAAAAGUUGAAAAGAAUAACAAGCUUGGAAUGCAUGCUCUGCUACGAGACAUGGGAAGAGAAAUUGUUCGUGAAAGUUCACCUGAGGAGCCUGAGAAACGUACUCGAUUGUGGUGUUUUGAAGAUGUAGUUGAUGUACUGGCCGAACAAACCGUAAGAAUUCUACAUUGCAUUUUGAAUUUUUGUCAUCCUUCACGAUCUUUGAAGAUAAAAAUAAAACUAUGUUUCAGAAAUGUUUUUUUACUUUUCCCAUCUAUUGGCUGAAAAUUGUGGGAUUCAUCAUCUCACAAGUGUUUGUCCAAAGUUUUUGGAGAAGUUAGUUCAUGAGAAAAAUGUCAUUUUAUAUAUGAUUGGGUAAGGGUUUAAGCAGAAAUUUUAUGUGUUGCUUUUUAGUUACCAAAUAGCAAGUUAAGGAUUCCUUUUUAUUUUAUUUUAUUUUUGUUUUUUCUAUGGUCUUUCUUUGUGUCACAGGGAACAAAAGCCAUCGAGGGAUUGGUUUUGAAGUCGCAAAGGACCAGUAGAGUUUGCUUCAAUACAAUUGCUCUUAAGAAAAUGAAGAAAUUGCGAUUGUUGCAACUUGAUAAUGUACAAGUCAUCGGAGAUUAUGAGUGUUUUUCGAAGCAGUUGAGAUGGCUUUCUUGGCAAGGAUUUCCUUUAAAAUACAUGCCAGAAAACUUUUAUCAGAAAAAUGUAGUUGCUAUGGACUUAAAACACAGUAAUCUUACACAGGUUUGGAAGAAGCCUCAGGUACAUAUGACAAUAGAUAUUCCUUUUAAAAUUAAUGGUUAAUGGAAAUAGUUAUUUUGCAUCUUAUUCUCUAAUUUUUAUUUAAAACAUUUAUUUUCUUGUAGUUGAUAGAGGGACUGAAGAUCCUAAAUCUCAGUCAUUCUAAGUACUUGAAAAGAACCCCCGACUUUUCAAAAUUACCAAACCUAGAAAAGCUAAUUAUGAAGGAUUGUCAAAGUCUGUUGGAGGUACACCCGUCCAUUGGAGAUCUCAACAAUCUUCUUCUGAUAAAUUUGAAGGACUGUACGAGUCUUAGCAAUCUCCCAAGAGAGAUCUAUCAAUUGAGAACAGUGAAAACUCUCAUCCUUUCUGGUUGUUCAAAGAUUGACAAAUUAGACGAAGAUAUAUUGCAAAUGGAAUCCUUGAAAACUCUAAUGGCAGCAAAUACUAGAGUCAAACAAGUGCCUUUUUCGAUCGUCAGAUCAAAAAGCAUUGGAUAUAUAUCUCUAUGUGGAUAUAAAGGAUUAUCACAUGAUGUUUUUCCUUCUCUCAUUAGGUCUUGGAUAUCACCAGCAAUGAAUUCCUUACCAUGCAUUCCCCCUUUUGGUGGCAUGUCAAAGUCUCUUGCUUCCUUGGAUAUAGAGAGCAAUAAUCUGGAUUUGGUGUCUCAAUCACAAAUACUUAACAGUUGUUCAAGACUUAGAAGUGUUUCAGUACAAUGUGACUCAGAGAUUCAACUGAAACAAGAAUUCAGAAGAUUUCUUGAUAAUCUAUAUGAUGCAGGUCUUACUGAAGUGGGAACAUCACAGGCAUUACAAAUUUCGGAUCUUUUCAUGAGAUCCCUUUUGUUUGGUAUCGGAAGUUGUCACAUUGUCAUCAAUACUCUUGGCAAGAGCUUAUCACGGGUUUCUUCUCCAUCCUCCCACCUUUACUGAUAAUUAUUAAUUUAUUACUUAGGAAAACAUAGAACUACUUUCCAUUUGCAUUUUUUUUUUUUCAAAUGGUAAAAGAUUUUAAAAUAUACAAAUUUAUUCAAGUAUCAUAAGAGAAAACAUAUUUUUUCUACAUAUCAUUUUUUCUUUAAAUUUAUCUUCAUUGCAUUUAUUUGCUACUGUUAAUAUUUAUUACAUUUGUUUAGCUUAUUCAUAUAUUCGUAACACAUGUUUAACUUUGAAAGGAUAUUUGAAUAACUAUUGAAGCUAUACACGGGGUUUAGUCGUUUACAUAUUGAACGAGAAAGAGAAACAGAAUAAUAAAAUUAUAUUUUUGUUGGUCUGGAUGGUUAUAUUGGAUCUUCUUGCCAUACAAAACAAAUCACUAGCUCGACAAUUGUUUUAUAAAAAAAGUUUAGUACAUAACUACAAUCUAAAACGAAUAAGGUAACUAGAUAACUUUUUACCUAUAUUUUUUGAAGUGCAAGUAUAUGUUAUGUUUUUGCUCUCUACAUUAGAAGGGAUCCAUGACCAUGUAAGCUAAUGUUGCUACAAUGCUACCUUUUAUUAGAAAUCAAAGCUUCCAGAUGUUUCAUAUGUUAGCUCACAAGCCUUUUGUAUUCAUGAAAGUGAAUCGACUGUGUGUGAAAAGGAGACAAAUUACUCUACAUAAACGAAAACAAUACUAUUCCUAAUGUUUUGAAGACAGAAAAUGAUUGGUUUUUCUACGAUGUUGAUACUAGGCCUUACAUAUUAUCAGACACUCUUCAAAGAAGGGAAUACAAAAGUAAAGUGCAAGUAGAGCUAGUUAAUGAAAAAUCUUCUUAUGGAUUCAUAAGAUAGUAGAACCCUGAGAGUGUGUUUGGAUGGGGGAAUGUUUUGAGGGAAUGUAGUGUUUUGAGGGAAUUCAACUACUUUGAGUUGAAUUCAAAUUCCCUCAAAACAUUACAUUCCCUCAAAACAUUUCCCCAUCCAAACACACUAUGAGAGAAUUUGUAGACAAACAUACAUAUGUUAUUACAAUGGUUACUGUGAAAGAUGAGUUGUAGCCUGUAGGAAAGUGGAAAGAAACUAUACUGCAUUUUCCAUUCAAUCUGUUUCCUUGUUUAUAUUUUUUUGUACACUAUUUUAAUUUUUAACACAAUAAAUUGCAGAAGUUGUCCAUUUGCGUAGCAUAAUUAGAAUUGCAUAAGUAAGUAACGAAGCAUAUUUUCAUGAUACAGGGAUUGACAACCAAUUUAGGUGAUUCCCUUCCGGGUGACAAUUAUCCUUCUUGGUUAGCCUAUAAAGGUGAAGGACCUUCAGUACUUUUCCAAGUGCCGAAGGAUAGUGAUUCUUGCAUGAAGGGAAUAGCUUUAUGCGUUCUUUAUUCAUCAACACCUGAAAAUUUGGCAACUGAAAGUCUCACUAGUGUCUUGAUCAUUAAUCACACAAAAUUCACUAUCCAGAUUUACAAACGAGACACAAUAAUGUCGUUUAAUGAUGAAGAUUGGCAAGGCAUAGUGUCAAAUUUAGGAGUUGGUAACAAUGUGGAAAUAUUUGUAGCUGUUGGGCAUGGAUUUACUGUUAAGGAAACUGCGGUUUAUCUAAUAUAUGAUCAAUCUAUUUCUACGGAAGUUGAGCCAUCAAGUACUAUUGAAGUUGACCCAUCAACUAGCACAAAUAUUGAGCCAUUACAUGAAGUGGAAGUGCAAUCAUCACUUAGUGUGAAAAUGGAGGCAUCGGCCGAAGAGCAACUACAACCAUCACUUGAUGUGAAAACGGAGGCAUCAGCUGAAGAGGAUGUACAACCAUCACCUAAUGUGAAAAUAGAGCCAUCAGCUAAAGAGGAAGCACAACCAUCACCCGAUGUGAAAAUGGAACCAUCACUUGUCAAGAAUGAACCAUUACCGAACGCAAAUAGAAAAAUAUUUACAAGACUUGCAAAGAGAGUGGGAGAAUGUUUAUGCUUGAACCAGAAAUGAGUAACAACUUUUGAUUGGGCAUGCCUAUUGUCCUGAUAUGGAAUUCCCAUGUAUGUGUUUUUUGCUUAAUGAAAAUAUGUAGAAAAUAUGUGUUUAUGCUUGAACCAGAAAUGAGUAACAACUUAAUGAACCUAUUGUGCCAAGUUGCUUGCCUUUGUUUCAUCUUCAAAUACACCAUUUUUGCACGUCUACUAUUCUGAUGGAAUACCAAUUACAUGAAUGUCAUUCUUUCGUCAAUUGGUUCAUUUGGUUCUUGAUUCUGAAAAUUUGACUCAUUUGUUGUGUUUCCUUCUACCUACUGGUUCUUAUUUUUCAUUUCUUUUACUACUGGUACUCUGGUAGCAUGUGUUGGAUCAAAUUUACAUUCUCACUAUAGUUGAAAUUUUCAUGGAGAGUAAUAUGCACUGUUAGUCUGUUACUCCUGUUAGUCCUAAACCGAGAUUCCAAUAUUGGGCGUACAGUAAAAUUUGAAGUAAAAACGACCAUCGUAGUUAAUGAAGUAAACUGGAGAAUGCAAAAAUAGUACAUUUCCCCUUAAAAAAAUAGUACAUUUCACAAAAAUUCAAAUAAAAAAUAAACCUAAAAUGCACACAUUAUUUUUUUUUCUUUCAGUGAUAUAAUAUAUACUAAAAUUAUUUCUAUAAAAAAUAUUACUAAAAUUAUUGAAGGAAAAAAAAAUUGAGUGAGAGUGAGAUAUUGUGUUUGAAAUGAUUUUGAAUGGUAUGAAAUGCCAGUGCUUUGUUAUAUCUUGGUUUUCUUCCAAACUUGUUUUAUACUACUAUGUUUUAAGUCAAUAACAAGAUUUCUUUGAUAAAAGUCAUCAGGUAUUUUGUUGAAGGUAAAUCCUUUCCAAUGUAUUCGUCUCAGGUCAUUAGAAAGACACUUAUAAUCUCUAGUGAGGUCGACAUGAUCAAGUUGUAAAAGUCUCGUUUCUUCAUCCUUUUUAAAGAAUCAGUACUGACGAAAAGUUAAAUGCUUUGCAAACUUCAAAGCCAAGUCAUUUACAGGUUCUGUUUCCUACAAAAACAUAGAAGUGUAAAGUGAAACCAUUUUCGCUUCCUUGCUAGAGAAAAGUAUAACAAGCUGCAGAGAUGCAAACCGAGCAGAAGCUACUCAAGUCGAGAGGGAAUCAAUAAAUACACUGCUUGAUGACUUAAGACAUAUAGUUUUUUCAAGUAACCUUUUGAAAUAUCUUCCAAAUCACACAAACUGUAGAGAAAAGUUAAAACAUUUAUUAUUCAAAAUCGGAGAUAGGGUUGAUGAACUAUCUGAGAAACAAGUUUUGGGUCUUACUUAGUUCACUAAAAUCUUCAAAGAAACAAAUUCAAUUACUUAAGGAGCAAGUAAAUAAGCUUCAUCAAGAAAAGUCUGUCUUGAAAGAUACUUGUUCGAAAUGUCAAGAAAAAAUGGUCGACAUUCUGAAAGAAAUCAAAAACUCUAUCAUCCAAUACUUUAAAAAUCCUUGAGAAAACUUCUCUCCUUGAAAAGAAAGAACAAAAAUUCAAUUGGAAUUGCAAGAGACUCCAAGAGCACUAUACCAAAAUGAAAUCAGCACCUCCUUGAAUUUAGAUCUUUUUAUCAUUUGUUUAACUACUUUAUAAUUUGCUAUAUGGUAUAUAACUAUGAUUACCAUAUUUCUUCUCUUUGUUGUAUAUAUGUAAUUGGGAAUGAUAGUUUUCUAUCUCAAUACUGAAGUUAAAUCGGAAACAUUAUGUAUUGUGGUUGUAUUUUUCUUCAUUCAUCUCUGUGAGGCACUAAGAAGUUGUUUCAAUCUGUUUAUUUAUGUUAUCCCCCAGAUAUAUUCAUUGUUUUCUAUUGUUUUGGCUUGAAAAAUGAAGAGAAAAUGAAUUGUCUCCAGUUGAUUAAAAAACACUACAGGAUUGAUACACUUUUAUAGACUUUAUUGAAUCUAUCCUAAUUAAUGAGAUAGAAUAUAAUAAAAUCAGAAUAUAAACUGUAAAUAUGAGUGAAUAAAUAAUGUGAUAUAGUUGCUUCUUGUUCGUUAUAUGUUAGGAGCACAGAUAGCCAAUAUCAGUAAUGGUGUAUUGCCAUAACAUUAUGAUGCUCACAAAGCAGAAAGUAAAAUAAAACUAAUUGUUUUUUCUUUCAAGCGGUAGAAGGCUUUCCUUAUAAAUCAUUAUCCGGCAACAUGAGUCACCUUUAACACCAAGCUCUUCGAUUCUCUGGGUGCUUAAAUCAAACCAAACUAACUCAUUAUCCUUUUUUCUGAAGAAUAUAUCGCCCUUCUUACAAAUUCCAAUAGGAUGUUCAAUGCCAGGCAAAGGACCUACAAUAAAGAGUUUGGUCCAUGACUCUUUGAACCCAACUUCACCCAAAAUUGAUAUGUGAAAUUUUGAUUUCUUCAGUUUAAUUUUUGAUAAACAUCAACUACUACUACCUAUAUAUUUCUUCAGUUUAAUUUUAUUACAUGACUAUAAUCCUAUUGCCUUCAACAACAAUCACACAACUCAAUCCUUCACCAAAAAUCAAUUUUCACAUAAAAUCCAUUUUCACAUGCAUCAACCAACCACAACAAAUCUAAAGUUCAAAAAAUAAGACAUAAAAUAUAACUACCUUAGCAUCCUGAUCAAACCUCCUUAAGCAUCCCAAUAGAACCAGGAUCACAAGCAUCAUAUGUGUCAUUGAAAAAUCAACAUAAACCCAACUUUUAUUGGACUAAAGGUAACCACACAAGUACUUUUGAAUUAGGAGGAACAACCUAUGAAUUAGGAGGAACGACCUAUACGCACUGCAACUUGAUCUUGAGUGGCCAUGAAGUAAGAGAUAUGAAAUCAGCUAAUAUAUGUUUUUUAUAAUUUGUAGUCAACAGAAUCAUCAACUGAUAUAUUUGCAUCAAUUUCUUUGUUACAAAAAUGCAGAUAUUUUUGUAAGAAUUUAAUACCAGAAGUUUUGCUCGUCCUAUGAAUAUUUGUGCACAACUAUUUUUUGUGAACUAGAAACCUCAUUGUUCACAUUGAUAAUAGAAAGAUCUUUGAAGCGUUUCUUCAUUGAUUUUGCUCCUUUAAUAAACAAAAGGCAUGUCAUAUUAACUAAAUAGUAUGUCUUUGGUUAAGCUAAUUAGUAAUUAGAUAAUUGAUUGAAGAUUAUUAUGUUCUAUUAGAGUAUGUCUUUAUUUCAAGGAAUAAAAAAAAUGGAUAUAUGUUGAAAUUAGAAGUUGUUGCUAACAAAAAUUGAUCAAUACUUGUUCUAUUGAAUUGAUAUGCUUGUCAUCAAUAGGAAACUGCAUUAUUAUGUCUUUAAAUUUUGGCACAUAUGUUGUGCUUUCAAACCACAUCUACCACAAAAUAUAUGUAGCUGGUUGUAAUUUGUGGCAUGCCUAAAUUUUUUUUUUUUUUGGUGUUGUAACAAAAAACACAUAUAUAUAUAUAUAUAUAUAUAUAUAUAUAUAUAUAUAUAUAUAUAUAUAUAUAUAUAUUAUGUCCUGAAUGUUUAUAUAAUUUUUUUUAUGGAAUUAUAUAUAUAUAGGGGUUUGCUAGAACACACCCACUAAUUUUUAUGUGGGAGUGUUUUAGCAAAGCUACACCUUAGGGUGUAUUUAACCACUUUUUAGUUAUUAAUUUGCUAAAAUACUCCUUCUAAAAAAUAAGUGGGUGUAUUCUAGCAAAUGCCUAUAGGAUUUGCUAGAACACACCCACUUGUUUUUUUUAGAAGGUGUGUUAUAGCAACAUACACCUUAAGGUGUAUUUAUUAACUUUUAAGUUGUAACUUGCUAAAACACUCCCACAUAAAAACUAGUGGAUGUGUUCUAGCAAAUUAUAUAUAUAUAUAUAUAUAUAUAUAUAUAUAUAUAUAUAUAGCCGAGUAGUCCCAUUAUCCUUAAUCUUAGUUAUCUAAUUCUCUUUUCUCUCUUUACCUGAUCCAUGUGAUUUCAACAUAGUACCAAAGCCAUAUUUAAUUCAUAUUUUGUUAAAACAAAUCUACUUUUUUAAAGAUUUUUACAAUAUUCUACAUAUUUCUGCAUAAUUUCAUUAAAAAAAAUACAAAUAUUACUCAUGAAUUGACUUCAAAAUUGGGACCAAAAGUGGAAAUUGAAAAUCUUAUAAGGACUAAAAGUUGAAAAAAAUAAAUUAAAGGAACUAAAACGAAAAAUUGAUAUAUUUAUUGAGACUAAAAAAAAUAUUUAACUUUCCAAUGUCUCUCCUCCUCUGUUUGGACUCUUUAUUAAUUAGAGGUGAUUUUAAACUUCAGAUGUUUCUCUUGUUGUUUUGAGAUUUGCCAUUAAGCACCAUGUUUGGAUUGCCUUUUUUCCUUCUGAUAUAAAUUGGUUCUAUUGUGGUUUUGUUUAGCUCUUUUAUUUUUUUUACCAUUGUUGCUUUUGCAUUAGCACCUUAUUCUUAUUUUUGUUUGUUUAAAGGAAUGAUCAAUAUAAAUGCUUCCGGUUGUUAUACUUAUGGUAGCUUUUAUUUAUAGAUAUUUAUGAUUAAUUUAUAGAAAUAUAUAUAUAUAUAUAUCAAGGAUUAAUUACAGAUGAAUAAAAGACAAGCGAACAAUAAGUUGCGUCAUUAGGCCUUUAAGAAAGGCAAAAUCAAUCCUCGUGAACACGACAUUCAUGGGCCUAGGAGACAUGACAUUGCUAUACAUGACCAUUUUGAACUCUAUAUAGGUCAACAACCUCUCGUGCUAGGAAAGUCAUCAAAUGUAAAAAUGGAAUAAAUUUUGUUGGAUGUAGUAUAGAAUUUGCCCACAUAUUAUUCCGUUCAUGCAUGUGAAUGCUUUUGUUGCGGCCGACUCAAGUAUUACUGCAUCUCCACGGUGGACGCCAAAUGUUCUUGCUGGUACACAUGGAGACGAGCCAUGAGAUAUUUGUGCCAUUUGGAUAAAAGUUAAUUAUUUAAUAUAUAUAUAUAUAUAUAUAUAUAUAUAUAUACACUCUUUUUUAAAAUUUUAGUCCCUAUUAAAAUUUAUUGAAAAAUUUAGUUCUCCAUAAUAUUGUAGCUUAAAAUAACGGUUCCUAUUUUAAAAAUAUUUUACUUAAAAUGAAUACUUUUAGUCCUCAAAAUAAUCGACAUAAAAGGAAAAUAAGGUUUCAAAGUGAAUAGAUUUUUUUGAAUAACUAAAUUUGAAAGCUCCUGUUUUUGUACUAAGAUAUUUAUAACCAGUAAUAAAAUAAAUUUGUAAGCCAAAUCUUGAGAAAACAAUUGUCAAAUGUAAUGUUGUAAACUCUUUUUGAAAUCUUCUUUUACGUAUCUUAUUCUUAUGCUUGAAGGCAGCGACGGAUCUAGGAUUUUUUAAUAGUGGAGGCAUCAUAUAAAAAAAUUUGUAGCAUUAAUAAUUGUCCUCUACAAUUUUUCAUAUUACGGAAACUUUGAACGGUUUUCUUAUUUUGAAAAUCAAUAAAAAUAUAUUUCUCUAUAUAAAUAACUAAACAAUCAUUUAACCGAUCAUCUCUCAUUCGAUUUUGCAUCCAAUUCUUGAUAAUAUUCAUACUAUCAAAAAAUAAUUUGAGAUAUAUGAUGAUAUAUGUGGGCCAAAAGAAAAAUAAUUUGUGAUAAGUGUAGACCGUGUGGUCAAAAUGUGAACUAUUGAUACAUUAUACUACUAAAAAUAAUAGUUUCUAAAAAUUUAAUGUAGGCACAAGCCCACACAUGGAUGAAUGAACAUACAUCCGUCCCUGCUUGAAGGACUUGUGAGCUUUGAUUAUUUUUAUUUUAUUUUGGCUUUUAAAAAAAAACAGAGAAAACAAUUGUAAAAAAAAUUAAAAAAAAUCCUGCAAAAGAGUCAACAAAACACUUCUUGAGUAUUUAGUUUUCACGUAUUUGCAAAAUCUUGCCUUAGCAAGCCUUAACUCAUAACAACCAUGUCGUUCUUUCCCUCUCGGACUCACACGAAAAAAAGUAAAUUGACUAUUACUUUUCUCACCUUAUGUACUUUUCACACGCCUUAUUUUUUCCAAAAUAUCAUUAGUUCGGAUUUUAUAAUUUAAACAAGAUUUCAAGAAAUAUUCAGAUUAUAUAAUCCAAAAAUGUCUUUUACCAAAUUUUUAAUUUGAGUUUAGUUUAUUUUAUAUUAUUUAGAUGCGAAAAUCAUAAAAUAAAUGAAAAAAAUAAAAGAACAAAACGAUAUACAUAAAAAUUUUAUUUUAUUAUUAUAUCAAUACAUUUAUAAUAAAGUUGAAGCUUAAAGCUUAUUACAUAGAACAUUCAAACAUAAACCAACCUAACACUCAGACAAACCGUGCUUCUUUGUAGCGCGUUGUCUUCCCCGUUACCCGUUCAUACAAUCCUUGAGUUUCCAAAGUAGCAUCUUUUUAUGAAAUGCCAACGAUGGAAACACAUUGUUGUAUAAGGAAGAUGAGGAGAGGAUGAGAGUGUGAGAUGAUGGUGUGAGAAAUGGUGAAGGUUUGAACGCUAUUUAUAGGGGGAAUGGUUGCAUAGAGUGUAUCUACACUUAAUGUUGAGUAAAAAAAUAUGGUUCAAAGGGGUUUUACCACCCAUCAAUGCUGAUAAAAACCUUUGAAAACAUGUUUUAUGUGGUUCAGACCACCGGCCAAGAAACUGACUUGGUUCAAAUUAUAUAAUCUGAAAUCAUACCCAUGGUUUUCGGAUUAUAUAAUCUUAAUUUAUUCAAUGUUAGGUGGAAAUGAAGGAACUUCAUACCUUAUGCAGGGUGAGAGACAUUUCGGAUUAUAUAAUAAGAAAAUGUUUAGGACAUGAUUUUUUCUGUGGUCCACAUUGCACCGACAGUUUAUGUGCUACAAGACACCCAAGUACCUCUAUAAAUAGGUGUCCCUGUUUUCAUAACCAAAAAACCACACACAAAAAAAAAAACAUGGAAAACUCUCUUUGAUCUGAACACCAAGCUAGUUACAGUGUACUACAACGGGGAGAAACCAAUCCAUCUAUUUAGGAUUCACACUUAUGUCGCCCUCUCUGUGUUGAAGGGUCAGCUGGAUCGAAUCAACCGCCAACUCAACUAAAGAGACACACGGAGGGUGGAUGGUGUUCAGUAUCGACAUCCAUCGAUCGACUCAGCCAGGAGUGUGCGGUUCACCCGGAUGAAGCUUAUGAACGGCGACGUGAGAACCAUAUUCUUGAUCUUUGGUCAAUACAGUACUAGAGGACCGAUCGAGUUGGACGCUUCGUUGGUCAGAUAUGUUGAACAAAUUCAUAAAAGUUUGAUCCGACCCAAGAACUACGAAGAGAUUAGGGCACUCUUGGACGCACCAUAUGAAGACAUUAAUUUAGCUGAUCUGUGGUAUGAAUGUCAUCAAAGGGUCCAUAUUGUCUCUGGUUCCCAUUCUCUAUUUUAUGGUUUUAUGUUGACGUGUAAUGCGUUUGAAUCAGGUACCUUAUUGGGAAUUCGUGUCUUACAAUUGGACCUUGACCCGGUGAAAAACAAUACCUGAAAAAAGAAAAACAAUGUGCUAGUUAUUGGCUUAUGCAGUUAAUACUUAGUAAUUCAGUUUUUCAAAGAUCACUUGUUCUUUAACAUAUUUGAAAACAUAUACUAAUGUAGAACAAUGUUAAAAAAUGUCAGAAUUGUUAACCUCUAAUUGUUGCAUAUGAAACAACAAUUACAAACCAUCACCAUCAAAAUAUAAAAUUGAAUUAUAAACACUUUUGAUGUCUAAACUACCAAUUUAAAAGUUUUUCCUCUAUAUUUUAUUUCAUUUACUUUUAUUUUAUAAACCCUCUAAUUCUUGCCUUUUUUACAGUUCAUAUAUAUAUAUAUAUAUAUAUAUAUAUAUAUAUAUAUAUAUAUAUAUAUAUAUAUAUAUAUACACUCACAAUUUUGUCUAUGCAUUAAUCAUUAAUGAACAUGAUGAAGUUAUAUCAGUUUGAAUUGCUCUUAUCCUUUCUAUUCAUCAUUGUCAAUACAACCCUUUCGGGUUAUAUCCCUCAAUUGCCUCAUUCUCUUGUCAAACAAAUAGACAAGAUCAAACAAUCUCCUCCAUCAGAUGAAGAUUCAAGGUCUAUCUCAAAUCAAAAAACAUUUGAGCACUUUCGGCUACUUCCGACAAUUUCUACUGAAAUUUGAUGAUGUUCUAGACGAGGAAACAAUAUCCGCUAUUAAGACCUACCAACAAUUUUUCAAUCUCCAAGUUACUGGUAACCUAAACACCGAGACUUUACAAAAAAUCUCGUUACCGCGAUGUGGUAUUCCUGAUAUGAGAUACGAGUAUGGCUUCGAUGUUGGAAGUGAUGUAUCAUUUCCGAAAGGAAACAAGUGGUUCCCUAAGGGCACAAAAAAGCUGACAUAUGGUUUUCUUCCAGGGAAAAAAUUCUCGUUACUGCGAUGUGGUAUUCCUGAUAU